rnacentral:lncRNA from 1 species
UUGCCAAUUGUUACUACUGGAUGUUUUAUAAAUGACGUUACUUUCAAAUUACGAAUGUGAUCGAUGUGCAAAUGAUUUGAUUUGUAUCUAUAUAUAUGUAUCUGUAAAGCUACGAGUACAUGGUCCGACAGAGGGGUAGUUAUUACCUACUGGGCGAUUUGUCGCUCAACCCACUUUUUACCAUCCUUGCAGAUUCUGAAGAGUAUGAGUUGGUUUACGUAGGAGACCCUGAGGAUGACUUUUAUUGGCUUUAAGUGAAUAGAAGUUGGCAGGCUAGCUACUUCUAGGUGUUAGUCUUAUUUAUUUUCAAUUCCGCUGUUUCCAUUAGAAAAUAAAUGUACGAACAUAUGGGAUAUUCGUAGACUACCUUUUUAUGUGAUUUGUACUGCACUUUAUUUUAGUUAUAUUAUUUCGUAUUUUUGAAGUUUAGACUAGUUAAAUGAUGCCUUGUAUUCUUGAGCGGAAUUUGAGAAUACGGCGGAUGCCACGUGACGGGCACGUCCGGGCUCGGGGCGUGACAGGUUCCAUGGAUGUUAGGUGGGAAAUUUAAUGUGAUUUUAGCAGCUUCGGAGAAGAGGGGAGGGGUGGCUUCUAGGGUAGGGGAUAUGGAAGAAGUCAAUAAUUGUAUGGCCCAGACAGGGGUGUCGAUAGUUGAAUUUGAUGGGUCCCUAUUCACCUGGACAAAUGGUUAUGUAUGACAGUGGCUAGAUCGCAUAUUUAUUAAUUCGGAUUGGGCUAGUAUGUAUGCUUCUGUUCACUCAACUUAUUUGUCGAGAGGGCGCUCGGACCACUCCUCUUGUUAGUGAAAUCUAAAGGCAGCAUGGUGGGACAUGGUUCAUUUCAUUUUCAGAAUAUGUGGAUUUCGCAUAGGAAUUUUUUGUCAGUAGUAAGGGAGUCAUGGGAUCAGCCUGUAAGAGGUCGGGGCAUGGAGGCAUUCUGUCAAAAGUUGGUAGCACUUAGUAGAAAGCUGGGAUCUUGGAACCUCCAAGCCUUUGGCAAUAUCCAACGGAACAUUCAAGAGGCUCAAGAUGAAAUGCAGUGGAUACAAAAAAUAUAUGAUCAGCAAGGCGGAGAUGUGUAUAGGUCUCAACUAAGUGAAGCUAGAGCCAGACAUGCUAGAUUAUUAGCCAUAGAGAAUGACUUCUGGAGACAAAAGGCGGCAAUUAAGUGGUUGAAACAAGGGGAGGCAAACACAGCUUUUUUCCAUGUGCUAGUUCGGGAGAGGAGGAAUAGGAAUUACAUAGCUAGAAUUAAAGAUGAUAAUGAUGGUUGGGUAGAAUCACCCUCGGCAAUACAAGACUCGACUGUGAAAUUUUUUUGGGAGCUCUUUAGUUAUUCGUCUGGAGUAAAAUGUUUGGAUGGUCUUCAAUUUCAGCUACCCAAGCUCUCCCAAGAUGAUGUGGAGAUGUUGGACGGAAUGCCGACGGAGGCUGAGGUUCGACAAGCAGUUUUUAGUAUCCACAAAAAAAGUGCGGCAGGGCCAGAUGGAUACUCGACUAUAUUUUUUCAGCAUUGUUGGGAAAUUAUUAAAAUGGAUUUAUUGGUGGUGGUGCAUGAUUUCUUUUCUGGGGCUACUCAACCCAGAGGUUUUACAAGCACUAUGGUGAUUUUGGUACUGAAGGAGCAAGGUGCGGUCUAUUGGAAGGAUUUAGGCCGAUAAGUUUGUGCAAUGUUUCAUCUUAAAUUUUAUUUAUUAGAUUGGCUAAGGUGUUGCUAAAAAUCAUCUCCCCAUACCAAACUAGUUUUGUACCUCACAGACAUAUUGAUGAUACUAUACUCCUGGCUUAGGAAUUGGUGCUUGAUCUAGACAAGAAGGUAAAAGAGCCAAAUUUAAUUCGCAAAUUGGAUAUGGAAAAAGCCUAUGACAGGCUAGAUUGGUCCUUUUUAAUGUUUGUGCUGAGCUUUUGGGUUUGGGGAGUAGUUUAUUGAUUUGGUUUUCCGGACGUUGUCCAAUAAUUGGUUUUCAAUUCUCAUAAAAGGAGUUAAGGCGGGUUUUUUUAAGUCCUUUCAUGGUGUUAGGCAAGGAGACCUGCAUCUCCGGCUCUUUUUCUCCUUGUUGUGGAAUUCUUGACUAGGUGGAUGCAUGAUUUAUUUGCAAAGGGUCGGAGGAUGUACUAUCAAUCUGCUAGUAAGCAUAUUCCGUUACUUUCAUUUGUAGAUGACACUAUAAUUUUCACUAGGUUGUCCAAGAACUGUUUAAAGCAGAUUCAUAAUUUUUUGGAGUUAUAUCAGCGUGUGUCAGGCCAAAAGGUAAAUACCGGGAAGAGCUCUUUUGUUUGCUUAUCUAAAGCAUCCAUGGCAAAGAUAAAUCUGGUCUCUUCCUUGUUGGGGUUUAAUAGAUAGAGGCUGCCUUUACAAUAUUUGGAUGUGCCUUUGUCCAAAGUGUUAAAAUGGCGUUGUCCCACAUCGCAUUUUGUAUAAGGGAACUUUUCCCUUAGUUGCCUAUAAAUAUAAUGGGCCUGUGAUGGGAUUAAGUACACCAAACUAAGAGAGUUUUAGUGGGCUAUUUGAUCAUCUACGUCAUCAAACCUUUUGUUUAGUAAAAUAUUUUGGACUCUCUUGUAUUUUAAGUAUUAGAUAUUUUGGGUCUAGGAACAAUUUUCUAAGGUAUUUUUGUACUCUCUUCUUCAUAAUAAAAUAUUGCUCCUUCUCCGCCCGUGAACGUAGGUCAAUUUGACCGAACCACGUAAAUUCUUGUGUUCCUAUUUUAUUUAUUUUUGCUCUGUUAUUUGUCUUUUGAGGUUGUCAAAAAUCUUUUCGUCAAUUUCCUGGAGCCGACCUAAUAAACUGGUAUCAAAGCUUCUUCAGAGGUUUUGGAUUUUGUGGCAACAAUGACAAUAACAAAGACUGUCAUCGAGAAAUUCGACAGGAAUGUCAAUUUCGAGAUGUGGCAACUCAAGAUGGAGGCCAUUUUGGUUCAAGACGGAGUUGAUCUAGCGAUACAGGGAAUUGAGAAAAAGCCAGAAGGCGUGAUAGAUGUAAAUUGUGUUGAGAUGGAUAAAAAGGCAAGGUCCAGUAUUAUUUUAAAUCUCUCUGACGAGAUUUUGCGGGAGGUAGCCAUUGAGAUUUCGACAAAGGCCAUGUAGGAUAAGUUUAAGACCUUGUAUAUGAAGAAGACAGUUGAGAAUCGACUUUAUUUAAAGCAAAGUCUGUAUAUGUUUCGCAUGACUAAAGGUACAUCUAUACUCUCACAUCUUGAUAAAUUUGAUUCCAUUAUUAUGAAUUUAAAGAAUAUAGAUUCAAAAAUUGAUGAUAAGGAUCAGACCCUAUUACUUUUAUGUUCUCUUCCCCAAUCUUUUAAAUAUUUUCGUGAUACUAUGAUUUAUGGAAAAGAAACAAUUUCGUAUCGAGAAAUUAAAUCUGCAUUAAAAUCUAAGGAGCAGAUAGAUAGGGAUAUUAUUGGGAAAUUUAGUGGAGGUCAGGCGGAAUGUCUGAUUGUUAGGGACAGAAUCGAGAAAAGAGAAUUUGACAAUAGUAGAUCUAAAUCUAGAUCUAAACCUAAACAUAGAAAUUUGGAGUGCAAUUAUUGUCAUAAAAUCGAGCAUAUUAAAGCAAAUUGUUUCAAAUUGAAAAAUAGAUUGAAACAAAAGGGGAGACCUAGUGAGAAAAAUAUUGAAACUGCCAAAACUGGUGUUGCAGCUGAUGAGAAUGAAGGAAAUAUUUUCUUUGUGAUUGAUGUUAGGACAAAGUCUAAAAAUAAAUAGAUUUUAGAUUUGGGGUGCUCUUAUCACAUGUGUCCUAAUAGGGAUUUAUUUUUCACUGAUGAAUCUUAUAAUGGUGGAAUUGUUUUGAUGGGCAAUAAUGCCGCUUGUAAUAUUGUUGGUAAGGGUAUAAUCUGAAUUAAAAUGCAUGAUGGUAUUGUGAGCACGCUCACUAAUGUUAGACAUGUUCCUAUUUUGAAAAAGAAUCUCAUCUCUUUGGACACCCUAGAGGCUCUUGGGUGCAAAUACACAGCUAAAAAUGGCAUUAUGAAGGUUUCUAAAGGUGCUCUCGUUAUAAUGAAAACUUGCAGGGUUGGUAGUUUAUAUAUUUUGCAGGGAUCUACUGUCACAAGCUCGAUUGCAGUUUCAUUAUCAUCAUCUUUGUCUGAUUCUGAUAACACCAAAUUGUGGCAUAUGCUUUUGGGACAUAUGAGCGAGAAAAACUUGGGCAUACUAAACAAAAGGGGACUUCUUUGCAGUCAGAGUACUAGGUCACUGGAAUUAUGUGAACACCAUCUUUGGGAAGCAAAAAAGAGUUAGUUUCAGUUCUUCAACAAUCCAUAAGACGAAAGAUACUUUUGAUUAUAUUCAUUCAGAUUUAUGGGAUCCAUCUCGUGUUUCGUCUACGGGUGGUGCCAGAUAUAUGUUGACUUUCAUUGAUGAUUAUUCAAGGAAAGUUUGGUUUAUUUUCUUAAACAUAAGAACGGUGUUUACCUCACUUUCAAGCAAUGAAAAGUUUUGAUUGAAAAUCAAACAGAUAAACAGAUCAAGCGGCUUAGAAUAGAUAAUUGGAAAGGAUGAUUUCAGAAACUUCCCUUGAGGUUUCUAACAAUUUUACUGAAAUAUCAUAAUAGUCCCCAACGAGUUUCUUUCUCUCUCAACUAGGGUUGGUGGCGGCGGCUAGGUUGCAUGUCCACGGCCAUGGAGGCCCUCCAGCCUCACGCUGGGGGCCAGGCUCCUUCAUCUCCAUCUUUUCUCCGCAAGUCCUUUGCUGCUUUAUUUUCAAGCAAUGCAGCCACGCCUUCGCUGUCCGUUCAGGCGACUCCCUCCACCCACAAAGGGGAGCCUGCGUUGAUAUUCUCGCAAAUAGCCAUGGAAAAGCUUGCGGCCCCAUAUCGACAUGCAUUGGUGGGCAAGUUCUCAAGGGGUAGACCGAAGCUAGAGGAUGUACGUGGUUUUUUGCGCAAGUUAGACUUGCGUGACCCAGCAACUGUGGGCUUGUUGGACGCAUGCCAUGUGCUGCUGCAGUUCCAUUCGGAUGCUGAUUUUCACAGAGUGUGGGCAAGGGGGAUUUGGUACGUUCAUGGACAUCCGAUGAGGGUCUUUAAAUGGACUCCAUCGUUUCAUGUAGAUCGUGAGCCAUCUGUUGUCCCGGUGUGGUUCCAGGUGCCCAAGCUGCCCUUGCAUUUGUUCCAUAAGGAAACGUUGUUCCAAAUUGCUGAGAUGGUGGGCGUGCCUCUGUUAGUUGAUGCGGCAACUUUGGCGGUUUCCAGACCUAGCGUUGCUAGGGUCUGCGUGGAGGUGGACUUGAUGAAGCAAAGGCCUUCAAGGGUAUGGAUUGGGACCGGACAGCAUGAUAGAUUCUGGCAGGAGCUGGUGCCGGAAAACCUUCCCCCUUAUGUUCCCACUGCUUCAGGCAGGGGCACACGGAGGUGGGUUGCCAUGUGUUGCACCCAGCAUUGAAGCCUGUCAAAGUGGGGGGAGACGGGGAGAGGCCUGGGCAGCCUGCUGAAGGGGGUAUUAAGCCCAGGCAGAGGCAGCGCGAGGUGGUGCAAGAUGGCACAGCGCUGGCUGCAAAUUCAGCAGCAGUUGAGGAGGCCGCAGCGACGAAGGUGUCCAGCUUGGAGCCUUCGAGCGGGACGGUAGCGCUGGUGGAGCCUCAAGCUAUGGUUGGUGUUAUGGUGUCCACAUCCCAAUCUGCUAGUGCUACGGCUGCGUUGGCUGAGCCGCAGACAGUGGUAGCGGUCGAGGUUGCUGAGCAACUUUCUGCGGAGGUGGUGGUGUUGGCUGAGAAGGAGUUGAACCAUGAGCAGGAGUUCGGCGGUAAUGGUGCAGUAGCGGUUGAAGGAUUUGAGGUGGUGUUGGUGGGAGGGCAGGAUUUGAGCAAGGAGGAAGAUGAUUACGGUAAUGAUGUGCGCAUGGGAUCAGCGGAACGGCGACCAACAGAGGCUCACAUGGAUUCUAAAGAUGUCUUGGCAGAAGAGGAAGAGCUUCGUGAGUUGCAGGAGCGGGUGGGUAAUCUUUCACCAAGAGGUGACUCUCACAUGGUGCCUGACGUACUAUCUUCGCUGGUAAGUGACCAUCAGUUGGGUGCACUGAACCUGGAGCCUAACGAAUUAUCUCUGGUGCGGCAAGAUGAGCGGCAGAAGAAAGGUACUAAGGUCAAUGCUCCGUCUAGUCAUAUUUUACACUCUAGAGUAAUCGCUUCACAAAAUUCUUGCUUAGCGUUAUCUGAUGAUUAGAUGUCUUUUUGGAAUAUUCGGGGUAUCUCUCGCGCCCCUAAUUUAAAAAGGUUACGCAAACUUGUUAAACUUUAUUCAGUAUCUUUGGUGGCGAUUUGUGAACCUAAGACAUCCCUACUGAACCUGGAUUCUAUCCGUGUGAAGGUGGGAAUGGACUUAGCUGUUGCAAAUCAAUCAGGUAGUGUUUGGAUUUUGUACAAUUCGUCGUUUGAUUGCUAUACAAUAGGAGAAUCGGAGCAGCACAUCACGCUGCGCGUGAUUUCCCAAUUAUUGCCUGAGAAGAUAUACUUUUCAUUCGUUCAUGCAAAGUACAUUGCCCAGGAGAGGGAAGGGCUAUGGGGAGAGCUUUUGCGAGAGAAGCAGGAGGUUAAGCCCUGGUUUCUGGUGGGGAAUUUUAACGUGAUUUUGUCUGUAGAGGAGAAACGGGGCGGCGUUCCUUUCAGGCAGGCUGAUGGGGUGGAAUUAGCACAGUUCAUGUCUUUAGCAGGGGUUGGAGAUGCUGGCUUCUCGGGGUCUAGGUAUACUUGGUGCAAUAAUAGGCAGGGUAUGGCUAGGGUUUGGAGACGGUUAGACAGGCUGUUGAUUAACUCGGCGGCUAUGAGGAUGGAAAGUGAUUUCACAGUACGGCAUUUGGGGAAGGAUCCAUCGGAUCAUGCGCCGCUUCUGUUAUCUGCGGUGACGAGAUUGGAUGGUAAGCCAUUGCCGUUCCACUUCUUGAAUGUUUGGACAACAAAACCUGGUUUCCUGGAUGUCGUUAAACAGUGUUGGUCUGGCUCCCUUCCUGGUUCGCCUCUCAAGGUUUUAUCAGAGAAGCUCCGAAAGACGAAACAAGCGCUUCGCCAAUGGUCUAGGAGUUCUUUUAGGGAUAUAUUCUUGGAGAUUCAGUCGGCGGAGCAAAAGGUGGUAGAGGCUGAACUAGCCCAUGAUGACAACCCUUCCGAGAAAUUGCUGAUACAACUACACAAGGCACGAGUUCGGUUACGCAAUGCUUUGGUGGUUGAAGAAGAAUUUUGGAAGCAGAAAGCUCGGGUUAAGUGGUUGGCGGAUGGUGACCGGAAUAUGGCUUUCUUUCAUUCUGUUGUGACGGAGAGGCGGCGAAAGUCUGUUAUUCAUCGGAUUCGGAGGACAAAUGGCGACUGGGUGGACGAUGAGGCAAGUAUUUGUAAUGAGGCCGUCUCUUUCUUCCAGGGUUUGUUUACAGAGGAGGUGGGAAGAGCCUCCAGUGACAUGUUGGAGGUCAUUCCGAGGGUUAUUAAUGAUCAGGAUAACAGCGGGCUGAGGGAGAUCCCUUCUAUGGACCAAGUGAAGGAGGUCUUGUUUUCAAUGGAUGGGGACAGUGCCGCGGGUCCGGAUGGCUUUACAGGGAAGUUUUUCACGGCUGCUUGGGAGGUGGUUGUUGAGGAUGUUCACCGUGCCAUAGAGAGCUUCUUUUGUGGCGCGGAGUUGCCGAGAUGUGUCACCGCUACUGCCAUUGUCUUGUUGCCUAAGGUUCUCUGCCCAAAGGAUUUUACACAAUUCAGACCGAUAAGUUUAUGCAACUUUGUCAAUAAGGCCAUAUCUAAACUCUUAUCCGUUCGACUGGCUAGGGUCCUUCCUCGGAUUAACUCGCCACAACAGAGUGGUUUCGUGCCAGGACGACAAAUGACGGAUAACUUUCUCUUAGAUUAGGAGUUGUUAAGCGAUAUUAGGAAACCCAACCGGGGAGGGAAUGUGGUGCUCAAGUUGGAUAUGAUGAAGGCCUACGAUAGGGUAUCGUGGCUGUUUUAAAUACAAGUCCUUCGGUGAUUUGGGUUUAGCGAGCUAUGGAUUGAUAUGGUAUGGAGGCUGGUGUCAAAUGUGUGAUUUUUUGUCAUUGUGAAUGGCUCGCUGAAGGGGUUUUUCAAGUCCGCCCCAGGUUUGCGCCAGGGGAAUCCGAUAUCGCCGGCUUUAUUUGUCAUUGGAGCGGAUGUGCUUUCACGUUCUCUGAAUGCCUUGACGGUGCAUAGGCGUUUCCAUCCCUUCAAAGUUCCGAGUGGAUGCCCUAUGGUCACGCACUUGGCAUAUGCUGACGAUGUGAUCAUUUUCACCAGCAGCAUCAAGGCCUCGGUGUAGUUGGUCAAGCAGGUAGUCGAUGGGUAUUGUUCUCUGUCGGGGCAGCGAGUUAACUGUCAAAAGAGUUAUUUUUUGGUGCACCCCAGGGUGCCUCCGCAACGACGAGCAAUGAUCAGGACGGUUACGGGCUUCUCGCACAAGUCAUUUCCUAUCAAAUACCUUGGAUGUCCUUUGUACAUUGGGAGGAGAUGAGUGUAUUAUUUUGCAGAUGUCUGCAGUGCGGUAACGGCUAGAAUCUUAUCAUGGAAAAAUCGGGUCCUAUCGUCUGGGGGCAAACUAGUUUUGCUCAGAAGCGUGCUGUCUUCAAUCCCGAUCCACUUGUUAGCGGCGACAUCACCGCCAAAGGCAGUGUUUGUGUCCCUCGAGAAGGUGAUAGUAGCCUUUUUGUCGGGCUCAUCAGAGAUUGGUCCUAGGUGGCAGUGGAUAAGUUGGGAGGAGCUAUGCCGGCCUCCGGAGGCAGGAGGGGUCGGAUUUCGUAGUAUUGCUGAGGUGUAUGAUGCACUCUCCAUUAAGCUUUGGUGAAAUUUUCGGCAGCAAAAGUCGCUAUGAGCGCAAUUUCUGUCAGCGAAAUAUUGUAAUGGAGUGCAUCCUUGUUUGGCAGAAGAGGUCUCUUCACAGUCCGCCACUUGGCGGAGAUUGAGGUCAGUUCAGGAUUUGGCGGAGGAGCAUAUCCGCUGGGUCCUUGGUGAGGGUUCCAUAGAUUUCUGGCAUGAUAAUUGGAUGGGUACAAGAGCGUUGUGCCAUCGGGUAGAUAUUUUUCAUGAGCAUAGGAUGGCAGAUCUUGUCUUUCAGGCACAAUGGAACUGGCGACUCCUUAAUCAGAUAUUGGCGCCGGAGCUAGUGAGGCAAGUGGUGCAGGUAUCUCCCCCGGCCUCUAGAGGUGCGGAUAGGGUGGUUUGGGCGUUAACGGCUGAUGGGCCGUUCUCGGUAGCCUCGACUUACUCCGCUGUUACAAAGUCGGCUACUUGCUCUUGGGUUGCUUCACAAGUUUGGCUGCAAGGUUGCCCCCUCAAGAUUUCCUUCUUCAUGCUCCGGCUGUUGCGAUCGCGCCUUUCCCUUAUGGAUAUGCUACGGAGAUUUGGGGUUCAGGGCCCGUCUAGGUGUCGGUGUUGCUCUAAGCCGAGUGAGGAAGGGAUCCAGCACACCUUCUGCACGGGGGAAUUAACAAAGGCUGUUUGGGCUAGCUUUGAGGAAUGUCAGGGGGAGUUGGCUAGGGUUUUCACGGUGUGUCAUCUGGUCGUGUGGUGGUGGUUGCGCCGGGGACAUAAUGUGUACCUCAAGUUCGUAUAUCGGUUACUCCCAAUGCUGGUCUGUUGGGAGUUGUGGAAAGCGCGAAACACAGGGAUAUUUGAGGGGAGGAGAGCGGUGAGUACGGAGGUGGUGCGUCAGGUAUUUCUACAAUUGUGUGCUUUAUUUCAUUGCCGUUUCCCGGAGAUAGAUGGCUCUUUUGGGUCAUGGGAUGCUUUUCACUCGGCAUUGGUGGGUAUGAGGCGGAGGGUUUCUAUUAUUCAGGUGGCAUGGGUGGCUCCUACAGGAGGGUAUAAAUUGAAUUCAAAUAGAUGCUCUAGAGGGAAUCCGGGGAUUAGUGGAGGUGGAGGUGUGGUGCGUGAUAGGGACGGGAAGCUCAUUUUCGGCUAUUCUUGUUUCUUUGGUUCCUUGACGAGUUUGCAUGCGGAGCUCAGGGCAAUGCUGUUUGGGGUGCGGUUAUGUGUCGCUCAGGGUUUGUAUGGGUUGCAUAUCGAGUCAGAUUCGCUCAGCUUGGUGCGGAUUCUGCAAGGGAGUCAAAGCUGCCCGUGACGACUCCAACAGGAGAUGUCCGAGUUGAUCACCUAUAAGCCAUACUUCACGGAGAUCACGCAUUGCUAUCGAGAGGCAAACAAGCCUGCUGAUUGCCUGGCUAACAUGGGAGCGGAUUCGGAGCAGGAGAGGGUCUUUACUAACCUUUCUGCUUUGCCUUGUAAUGUUCAGGGGGAACUAGCUUUGGAGCGCGUAGGGUUUCCUAAUUUUCGUAGGAGGUGGGGUAGAUGAGCGUUGUAUGCUUGUAUGCUUUCUUUCGCUUGCUCUCAAGUUCAAUAAAGCGAUUUUAUUUGAAAAAUAUAUAUAUAUAUAAUUGUUGUUAAAAUCACCAAAUUGACUAUAUUUGUUACUCAUUUUAAUAAAUUGGUAAAUUUAGUGAUUUUUUGACAAUUAUUGGCAUUUUUCAUAUAAUGUCUUUAAUGUCACCAUUUUGGGGAAAAAAAAUAGAUAAUUGCAUGGAAUUUUGUGAAAAAGAAUUUGAUGAAUUUUGCAAGAAUGAAGAAAUUGCUCAGCAUCGUACUGUCAGGAUGACGCCUCAACAAAAUGGUGUGGCCGAAUGUAUGAACAGAACACUUUUGGAGAGAGCGAGGUGCAUGAUCUCUAAUGCAGGGUUGACAAAGGACUUUUGGGCAGAGGCGAUCUCUAUGGCUUGUUAUAUUGUCAACCGUGCUCCUUAUGCUACUUUUAAUUUCAAAAUUCCUGAAAAAGUUUGGUCAGGUACUCCCGCUGAUUAUUUUGAUUUUAAAAUUUUUGGGUGUCAAGCAUACAUGCCUGUAAAUGAUAAAAAAUUAGAACAUCUAGUUAAAAAAUAUAUUAUUCUUGGGUAUGCUUGUGGGAUGAAAGGAUACAGAUUAUGGUGUCCUGAUCCCAAAUUUUCAAAAUUUAUAAUCAGUAGAAAUUUUACUUUUGAUGAAUUCUCUAUGUUAUCUUUCAAGAAGGAAUCUUCAAGUUCUUGUCAAGCAGAUGAUAGUAUGCAGAAGCAGGUGGAGUUUAACAUUGGUAGUUCUGGUCCUUCUAUUCAACAAGUGCCAGUAGACGCAUCUGAAUCUACUGAUGAAAAUAAUUCAAAAGAGAAAGAAUAUUCCAUUGUCAGAGAUAGACCAAGGAGGGAUAUUUGACCACUACAAAGAUAUAUAAAUUUGGUUGCAUAUGCUUUGUCUGUUGCAGAAGAAACUGAUGUAGUCGAUGAGCCUACUACCUAUUUAGAGGUAGUUUCUUGUGAUGACUCUACUAAAUGGCUGAUUGCAAUGAAUGAAGAAAUUGUGUCUCUCCAUCGAAAUGAAAUUUGGGUUCUUGUGAAGCCGCCUUCAGAUAAGAAAAUUGUUGUAUGCAAAUGGAUCUUCAAGAAGAAAGAACGUAUUUUAGGGGUCGAAAAUGCAAGGUACAAAGCACAUUUGGUUGCAAAGGGCUAUAGUCAGGUACAAGGUGUUGAUUUUAAUGAAAUAUUUUCAACUGUUAUUAAGUAUAACUCUAUUCGUGUUUUGCUUGCUUUAGUUACUAUGUAUGAUUUGGAGUUGGAGCAACUUGAUGUUAAGACAACUUUCUUACAUGGUGAACUUGAAGAGAAAAUUUAUAUUAAGCAACCUCAGGAACUUGAAGUUGAAGGAAAGGAAGACCAUGUUUGUUUGCUAAAGAAAUCCUUAUAUGGAUUGAAACAAUCUCCAAAAGAGUGGUAUAAGAGGUUUGACACUUUUAUGUUGGAUCAUGGUUAUUCAAGGAGCAUGUAUGACAGUUGUGUUUACUUCCGAAAGUUAGAUGAUGGUUCUUUCAUUUAUUUGUUGAUUUAUGUUGAUGACAUGCUCAUUGCUGCCAAGAAUUUGUCAGAAAUUCAUACUUUGAAGUUGCAGCUAAGUAGUGAAUUUGAAAUGAAACAUUUGGAAGCAACUAAAAUUCUUGGCAUGGAGAUCAAAAGAGACUAAAGAGUUGAAAAGUUAUUCUUGACUCAAGAAAAUUACCCUGAGAAAGCCUUGGGGAAGUUUGGCAUGAAAGAUGCUAAACCUAUGACUACUCCUCUUACUAGUCAUUUUCAACUAUCUGCUGCUCAAUCACCACUGUCAAUUAAAGAGAAAAAGUAUAUGGCACGAGUUUCUUAUUUUUGUGCAGUCGGCAAUAUUAUGUAUGCAAUGGUUUGUACUCGUCCAGAUAUUGCACAAAUAGUCAGUGUGGUUAGUAGAUAUAUGUCUUAUCCUAGAAAAGCAUAUUGGUAGGCUGUGAAAUGGAUUCUCAGAUACUUGUGAGGGACUUCAAAUUGUUGUUUGAAGUUUGGGAGAAAUAAUAACACUUUGAUUCGUUUUGUAAACUCUGACUAUGCUAAGGAUCUUGACAUAAGAAGAUCACUUUCAGGUUACGUAUUCUGUAUUGGCGGUUGUGCAGUUAGUUGGAAAGCUACUCUACAACCUGUUGUAGCUUUAUCUACUACGGAGGCAGAGUAUAUGGCCAUGACCGAGGCAAUCAAAGAAGUCUUGUGGUUGAAGAGUUUGUUUGGUGAACUUAAUCUGCAUCAAGGUGUUACUACUAUUUACUGUGAUAGUCAAAAUGUCAUUCAUUUGACUAAAGACCAGAUGUAUCAUGAGAGAACGAAGCACAUUGACGUAAAAUUUUAUUUCAUUCGAGAUACUAUUGUUGAGGGAAAAGUCCUUGUUCAAAAAAUUAGUACGAACGAGAAUCCUGCUGACAUAUUCACGAAGUCUCUUCCAGUUUACAAGUUCAAACAAUGCUUGAAUUUGGUUGGUAUUCGUCAUUGGUGAUUUAGGCCCAUUGGGGCUUAUGUGGAGAAGGUGGAGCAGUUUUGCUAUUGUCGAUGUUGGGGACACACCAAGAUAGAGAUUUGUUAAAGUGGCGCUGUCCCACAUCGCUUUUUGUAUAAGGGAACAUUUCCCUUAGUUGCCUAUAAAUAUAAUGGGCCUAUGACAAGUGCACCAAACCAAGAGAGCUUUAGUGGGUUAUUUGAAUUUUUGGGUCAUUAAACCUUUUAUUUAGUAAAAUAUUUUGGACUCUCUUGUGUUUUAAGUAUUAGGUGUUUUGGGGUUAGGAACACUUUCCUAAGGCAUUUUGUACCCUCUUCUUUAUAGUAAAAUAUUGCUUCUCCUCUGUCCGUGAACGUAGGUCAAUUUGAUCGAACCACGUAAAUUAUUAUGUUCCUGUUUUAUUUACUUUUGCUUUGUUAUUUGUCUUUUGGGGUUGUCAAAAAUCCUUUUGUCAAUUUCCUGGGGCCAGACCUAAUACAAAGAGAGGAAAAAAGUUGUAUUGUAUGAUGGGGCGUUGGGAAAGAUUCGUGCUAGGAUGGGUGGCUGGAGCUCUAAGCUGUUGUCUCCUGGGGGAAAAAUAAUUCUUAUUAGAUAUGUCCUUACGUUGAUUUUCAUUUACUUCAUGCAAGUGUUGCCCCUCCCCCCCAAAGUCAGUAUUAGCAGCAUUGGGAGAUCUUUUCAAUAGUUUUCUGUGGGAUUAUAACUCCUAUAACAAGAGGGUUCAUUGGAAGGCAUGGGAUGAGUUGUGCUUCCCUAUAGAAGAGGGGGGCCUUGGGUAUAGAUCUCUGACCUCUAUGGUAGAGGCUUUCAGUAUGAAGCUCUAGUGGAGUUUACGAUGUAAAAAGUCACUGUGGGCUGACUUUAUGCACGCCAAAUAUGUUAAGGAUUGUCACCCAAUUGAAGCGCCAGUAGUGAGAAGCUCUCCUAUUUGGCAUUGUUUGUGUUCCAUAAGACAGCAAGUGGAGCAACAUGUUUUUUGGAAAUCGGAUUGAGAAGAGGUUGAUUUUUUGAGAGACAAAUGGUUGCUAGAGGAAUCUUUGCUGGAUGUCUAUGAUUUGGCGGAUCCACCAGCCCUUACAGUUAGUGAUUUCAUGCUCAGGGAGACAUGGAAUUGGUAGUUUUUACAGCAAUGACUUCUGUUACAUAUUUGUAAUGCUAUAGAAGAUGUCACAGUGUGCUUGGGUAAGGAUUAUAUAAUAGUCUAGAAUGCUUCCUCUUCUGAGGAAUUCUCAUUAACGUCUGCUUAUGACUGUUGUAGGAUGAAAUGUCUGAUAUCCAUGGUUUGCAAGACUCUUUGGAGUUCUUGGGUUCCAAAUAAAAUGUCUUUUUUGGCUUGAAGAAUUUUAACUGAUAGCCUUUCGUUGGAUUCAAAUUUGCAGGUUCGAGGAUUGUCCUUAGUGUCACAUUGUGAAUGUUGCAGGGUACAAGAAGCAUUGCGGCACCUCUUUCUUGAUGGGGAGGUGGUGCAGUAGGUUUGGCGUGCGGUUGAUGCCUGGUUUGGUGUAGCAUACAUAAGGCAUUCUUGUUUGUAAACGAUUCUCAUGCUCUUUCCCUAUUUUAGUUUGUUGGUUUAUAUGGUAUGCAUGGAAUGAAUCGAGGUUCCAGGGAAUUUCAAUUACUGCAGUUUCAAUCCUCUUCAGGUUGGAGUAAUUUCUGGUGUUAAUGGGCAAGUCGCUAGUGUUCCUUGGAUCGUUUCUAAAGGGAGUUGAAGCGUCCCUUCCUGCUGCAUGUUUUACUCUUAAGCCAUCGGUGAAGCAAAUUGCCAAGCCAGUCACAUGGCAUCUUUCUCCCUCGGGAUGCCUCAAAUUAAAUACCGAUGCAAGUGUAACAACCGGAUGUGCAGUAGGAGGCGGAAUCCUUAGAGAUCAUUUGGGUAGGAUGGUGUUGGCUUUUUACACCAAGUUCGGUCAUAUUGAGGUCCUAGAGGCAAAAGCAAGGGCGUUGCACUUUGGCUUGAAGCUUUGUGGGCAAAUUCCAUGUCAAGGACUGAUUGCAGAAGUGGAUUUGCAGGUUUUACAUCAUCUCAUCUUAGACAAGUUAUCGGCCAGAUGGCUUUUAUGCAACGUGUUGACGUCAAUUAGGAACUUCCUUCGCCAUACAAGGCUCAGUGCAUCACGUCUUUAGAAAGACUAACACGGCAGCGGAUGCUUUAGCAGGACUCAAUCUACCUAAUCAGAUGGUAUUCCAUCAAUCUUCUCAAUUGCCUCCCAUUAUCAAAUCUAUAUUGUUCUUCGAUACCUUUAGUAUGCCAUCUGUUAAACUCAUUGAUGUAAAGGAGUAGUACUCCUUCUUUACAUUGUAGAUUUGUGGCUGUAAUCUCUAAUUUUUGUUAAUGAAAUUUAGACUGGUAUCCCACCCCCGUUUAUGGGGUUUGCCAAAAAACAAGAGUAGAGUUUAUAGGCCGUAUAAGAGGUGUGGUCCGUUUGUCUUUUGCUGUCCUAGUUUCAUUAGGAGUUUGUGUCAAGAAACAUAAAAGUAUCAUUUUUCUCUUUCAAUGAGAGGUUCGACGUUUUUACAAAAAUUAAUUCUUGAGAGAUUGCUCUCUUGGCUCUAUGAGCUUUUGUUGAACACUUAGAGUCGUAUUCUUGUUCAUUCAGCUUAUCAAUCAAGUUCAUCACCCUUGAUUGUGGUGCCUACUAUCAUUCCUAGGAUUCGCUGGUUCGUUUGAUUGUGGUCAAGAUUGUAUCAAGGUUGGUAAUCACGGGGAUUAGAGGGGUUUGUGUAGGAAUUCCGCCAAUUCAAACUUGUGUCAAUCACUAUCGAUCCGAGGUUUGUGUGAUCAAGAAAUCCAUCUUCAACGGGGUUCGUAUCAGCUUGCAUCAAAGCUAGUUGGUGAUUUUUCUGGUUAAAUCCCUUGUUUUUUAUUCAAUUCGUUGGUCUUUUUGGUUGACAGAGUCAAUUUGUUGUUGUUAGGAAGUCGCUAGGGUUCUUUUCUUGUUCAUCGCAUUUUAUAGUUGUUCAUUACUUCAAUUAAAUCGUUCCUUGUUGGAAUCUAUCCAUGUCCUAUUUGUCAUUUAUUCCUUCUUGUUUUGGUCCAGAAUUUGGUGUUAAUCCGUUUGCUCAUUGGGAUAUUGUUCCAAAAAAUUAAAAAAUAUAUAUAGAAGUCGCUAGGGUUUCUUUGUCGCAAACCAAAUUAGGGUUUCAUUUAUUAGUUGCUGUCCGAAUAAAUUCUUCCUGUUGUCAUCAUUUCUUGCUUCCACAAUUUCGUGUUAUUAUUGUGUCUUGAUUGUAAUUCAAGUUUUGAGCCAAAAAAAUUUUGUUCAUAUCUAGUUAGGGUUUUUGAGUCAUCGUCCAGUUUUCUUGAAGGAAUCGAAGCUGUAUUCUAGGGUUCUUGUUAGUUAUGGUGUACACUUAAGAAAAACAGACUGACCUGGUAAAAUUCUUGGAAUUUGAAAUCAAAACUGGGGUUUCUUGAAGUUCUUGGUUGUUUAAAAGGGCAAUCUUGAAGUUCUUGGAGUUGCGAGUUGAUAUUCUUGAAGUUGUUUGAAGAAAGUUUAAAUCGGUCUUGUUGAAACUGGACAAACCGUCGGCUGUUUAGGGGGAUUCAACCUCGAAUUUUUUGUUUGUUGAAUUCUGGAAAACCUUUCGUGGGUUCUUGUAGAAUGUUGAAGCUUGCUAGGGUUUUGGGGACCAAAAUCUUAUUCAAAACCAUCCUGUAAAAUUCCAGCCGCUAAAUCUCUUGUUCAUCGAAGUUCUUGGCUGUUGUGUGUAUAUAUAUAUAUAUAUCACAGCCACUAUUUUUUAUUCCUAAAUUUUCCAGAAUUGAGUCAUAUUUGUGUUUGUGAAGUUCUUGAAUCAGUUGGACAAAUCAAACAAGAAAACAGUCGCAACCUCAAAUCCAAAUUCCAUUAGGAUUCUUCCUAGUGCAAUCCGACAGCCGUUUAACGAACAUCCCAUAGGGAAAAUUUGUGAAUUCUAGCCAUUUAAUCCUUAUUCCAGUGGGAAAAGGGGUUCAUUCUAGAUUUGCUCCAAGAUAAUCAGUCCUAAUAAAAUUUCCAAAUCACAUCCCACGAAGAAGUCAAGAAAUUGCAUUCAAGUCACUUCAUUUUCCAUUGUUCUAGAGUCAAAUUCCAGCAUUCUUGGUGUCAUUACUUCUAAUCCUUUCCAACAGUUAUUAGCCAUAGAAUUUGUUCUUAGAGUCCAGAAAAUAACGCCCCAAAUUUCUAGUAGCUAGGUCCUAAGUUCGUCCAAAAUUCCAGGUUUAUCAGAAUGAAAAUUCCAGCUUUGUUAGUAUCAUUCUUACUAGUGUUGGUGUCGCGUCUUAAUAGUACAUUGAGUCAAUUCUCUUGAAUUCAUUCCAAUAAGUUUCCAGCCAUAAGUUACAGUAGUUUACGGCCUUAAACACAUCCUCAAAAUUCCAGUUUGUCGAGUGCCAAAUUUCUAGAUUUGGUGUCAUCUUUGCUUAGUCAUUCAAGUCGUUAAUUUUCCACCUUAACUUAAGCAAAUUUUCAGCAUUAUUCUUGGUCCAAAAGGUUGAGUUUCUUCAUCCAAAUUUCCAGAUUCGUGUCUUUUCUUUCAAACACCAACUCUACUCUCUACUGGGCUACACUCAAGGAGCUAAUUGUAAAGCUCAAUUGAACACUUGAGGGGUUCUUACCUAUUCAAGAAAGGCAGCCGAGAGUCCAUUUGAGAGCUUUGGUGAGAUAAAUAAAGUGAAAAUUUGAGUGUAUACACAAGCAUGAGCAGAUACACGCGAGGGUGCGAGAAAGGCAAAUUCUUUUAUAGUAAAAUUUUCUUGCAGGAUACCUAAGCAAUAGAGGAACACGAACCAAAAGUAGACCCCACUCUUAAAUUAGAAGCUUUGUUUGAUGACUUUACUAGAAGAAUCACUAACAACAUGGAGGCUCUACACGAAAGGAUGGAUCGAUUGGAAUUGUUUGGAAUUAUCUCAAAUGCCAUCUAAGGGUCAACGAGACAAAAACAAGAUUGAAGAAUCUAAGAGCUUUAAUGAUGAAGAAUCCGAACAAAGGCUGACACCGAGACAUCGUAAGCCGAACCAAUGGAGGGACCCUAUAAAAGUGAUCAAAAUGAAGAUUAUGAUGUUUCAUGAGAGGUCGAAUCCUGAGACAUAUCUUGAGUGGGAGCGGAAGAUGGAGAUGAUUUUUGAGAGUCACAACUACACCGAAGAGCAGAAGACCAAGUUCACUGUAAUCGAAUUUACUAGUUAUGUGAUUGUUUGAUGGGGCCAGUUGUACACAAGUAGAAGACGAAGUAGAGAGGCCACUAUCACCACUUGGAUCGAGAUACGAGGUAUUAUGAGGAAGAAGUUCAUCACGAGCUAUUACUAUCUCAAUGAUGUAAUCUACAAUUGACAUAAUCUAGACAACCAAUCAUCAACGGUUUGAGCAGCAAAAAUUUGACCCAAUCUAAUCCUCGAAGUAGCGAAUAAUGUUGAUAUUAUCUCAGCCCACUACUUAACGAAUUAGCGAACCAAACUAUAGGUAGAGGAACACCACAACCAAGGAGUUACUUGAUUGAUAAGUUCACUUGAAUAAUUUGAGAAAGAUUCUCAAAUAUUCAAAGAAGCUCUCUUGGAAAGAGAAAGUGAAAAACUCACGAUUUUUAUUAAUGCAAAAACUGAUUAUGAAGGUCUCUUGCCUUGGCUAUGUAUAGCCAUACAACUUGAAAACUUAAAGUGACUUGAAAACCCUAACUCGGCUAAGCUAGGCCUUUGGGCCGAUUCUACUACUCAAAUCCACUAUCUAAUGGUCAGCUUAUAAUCGACCCAAUGAAGGCUUUAAGCUGGCCCAACAUAACCCAAUAAAAGCUAAUUAACCAACUUAAGUAAUAGUGAGCCUCGACUCUAUAAAUCGGAUCCAACUCAACAUGAGAUCUUGGACCGAAUUUAUUCCUAGCAAAUAAAAUAGAAAUCUGGAAAAUAAACUACUAACUAUUACUAAAAGAUUCAAUCUCUUGCAGUCCAAAACAUAACCCAUAAGCGGCCCAUAUUUUGUAUCAUUCCCCUCCUCUUGAAAAAGAUUAGUCCUCAAAUCGUGUUUGGAAAUGAAUGGUUCUACAAGAGUUGGCAGUAUGACACCUCAAAUCUCCACAUAUUGGCUCUCUUAGAAUGAAUGAUACUUGCAUACUUCAUGAUUAUUGUAAUUCGGUGCACAUGUCUCUUGGUCAGCUUGAAAAUGCUCACAAUCCGUCAUGAAAAACUCAAGGAUUUACUCCAACCACUCCAAAGCUCUCUAAUCAGCCUUGUGUCAUGAAUGGUUGAAUUUGGACCUACACAAUAAAUCACACGAUUAGCAUUUGUAGGUAUAAAAUCACUUGACAGCUUACCAUUCACAUUCACAAGAUAAGGAUCUUCAUAGUGAUGCUCAAUCAAGUUAGAAAAGUCCCGAAUAUGAUUGUCCAAAGCUACAUAAUUCAUUGCAAUUUGUUGUUGGUAUGGCCUAUCUUACACAAAUGGAGCAAGAUCGAGAUAGGCAGCUUUUGUACCUUCAAAUUGAAGAAUAAAAUCAGGUUGUAAGGAAUCAGAAUUUGGGACGAUGAGGAAAGAAUUAUCACCAACAAAAUAAGAAGGAAGUUUAUAACAAGUUUCAAGUAUAGAAACUCCCUUUGAAACUUCAUUAUUCCUCCCAAUAAGCAAAUCAGGCUCAUGGUUGAAGUUGAACAUCAAUGGAUGACAAAGAGAUACAACACUCAAGAUGCAAACUCCAUGAAAAGUUUGAUAUUCACCAAUGGAUUUAGGAAUAGAACAUGCCAAGAUCAGCUCAAUUUUUCCUUGCUUAACCUGCAUAAAAGUAGAAACACUAAACAACGUAGAGUUAAAAUCGUUAGAAAAAACGUAUGAUCUCACAUCCUUUCUCAUAAUCAGCUUACUCUUAGAAUUUUUAAUCUCUUUCUCAUGCUCAAUAGCUAACUUUUUCCUCUCAUUAUUAUCAACCUCUUUCUCCUUUUCAACUCCCUCGAAUUUUACCUCAUCAGUCACAAUUCCCUUAUCUAGCUCUUUCUUCAUACUAUAACGCUCAUACUCACUUUUCAUGUAUGCUAGAUCAAUACAAAGUUGGUCAUAAAUAAGUGAUACAAGUGCAGAACGACGACCAUUAAAUAAGAAGGAAUACUUAUUAGUAUGUCCAUCAUAUUUAACUUCUCGCCUUAACAUCCAUGCUUUACCCAACAAUACAUGUGUCACUUGAAUUAGGACUACAUCACUCAACACCUCAUCCACAUACUUGCCAAUUUGAAUAGGUACAAGUGUGUGUUUAGUAACCCAAACAUCACCAUGAGCACUCGGCAACUUAUACGGUUGAAGAUGAUCAAUGGUUGGAAGAUUUAAUUUGUUAACCAUGAUAGCGCUUGCAAGAUUGACUUCACAACUCCUAUUAAUGGCCAAGCUGCAAGUUUUGUCUUUGACACCACAACGAGUAUAAAGCCAAUCAUGCAACUGAGAUUUGAUGAUGUCCAACUGCUCAUCUACACCACGUAAUGCCACUUCUUUGACUCCCUUAGGAUCAGGAAGAAGGUAUUGUAAGCUAGCCUUUAAAUGCCUCGUAUUCGCCAUGAUGUAUGAGGAAACCUGCAAAAAAAUUAGUGAAACAAAAGAUAUUAUCCUCACCACACAUGUUCAUGUGUUUACACUCGUCACUCGUGUAUCACUCAAGUGUUUAAAACACUCUAAUGCUCUCACAAAUCACUUCUCAAAUCCCUUGAUUGCUUCCUUUGAAGAAAUCAGAAAUUUCCUCCAAGUAAUUCAAUCAAAAGUUUUCCCCAAAAGUGGCUUAUGAGUAGCUGGAAUUUAAGACUAAACGAAGACUCAAAAGGCAGCAAUUACACAAGCAAGAAUUCGCUGGAAUUUUUCUGAUUUAGUCCGCAAAAGAGUAACUCAAGUGUUGUGAGAGUUUGACUUCGACAAGGACUCUAACAAGCUAAAUAAUAGCUAGACCUGUUUGGAUUCUUUUGGACACUAUGACGCCCCGAAAGAAUGAGUGUGAGAACCCGAAAAUUUUUAUAUAUUUUCUAGACAUUAUUUUGUUUCCUUGUUUAUAAUUUUGUACCUUGCUUCAAGAUAUUAAUUUUCUAUACAUUUUUAUAAAGGAAUAUAAUUUUCAAAUCAUUUCCUUGAUACGAGUUAGUCCACGUUAAGUUUGAAGUGUAUUAUGGACGUGGGACCCGCUAGUGCGGUAAAUGCAAUAUAUUUUUGACAACUUGUUGGAGGUUUGUAUUAAGUGAUAUUAUUUUAUAAGGUGCUAAGAGAUUUGUAUUAGAGAGACAAAAAGAUAAGCUUUAACCUAAAAGGUGACAAGUGUCACCAUUCAAUUCACCCUUUGACUUUUGAUCAAGAUAUUUUUACCAUCUUAAAGCUAAUUUUGGCCAUUUUAUUUCUUCAUUUGAAGCUCUCUUGGCCAAACUCCUUAGGGAGAGAAAAGAAAGAAACCUCCAACUUCUUUCUUCAAUUUCUUGCCUUGAUCUCACAAACCAACCGCUAAAACUUUGAUUUGCUCCAUAAAAACCUUUCUCUUGGUAGGAUUAAAGUGAGUGGUGAAGUGGUUUGAGAAACAAAGGUGCUAAGUUGCUUGUUGUCUUGAGGUUACAAGGUGAGUUGUUAAGAAUCUUUCCCUUUAGCUUUGCUAAUGUUCAAUUGGUGGCUUUAGUGGUUUAAUAUGAUGACAUAUGGUGUGAUUAUGGUUGGAAGUGAAGGUUUGAUGAAUUUUGAUUUAUUCUUGUUAUUUUUCUGUUUUGUAUGAGGAUCAUGGUUUGAUCAUGGUAUGAUGGCUGGUAAUGGUGUAAAAUGGAGCUUGUAUAUGUUAGUUGAAGUUGAUUGCGGAAAAUUUCUGGUUUUAUACUAAAUUCCAGGUUUAGGGUUAAAUUUGCCCUGUUCUGGCCGGAUUUAUUUGGGCAUGUUAGAGGCCGAAUCAGGCUUAGGGUAAAACAUGAAAGUUGUAGAAAAUGGUGUUAACUAGAUUUCUCCAAAAUUUUAGCCCUAUCAGAGCACUGUAACAUGUGAAAUGAUCGAAAUACCCUUGACUGCCCAUGAACCCUGUUCUGCGCCCAGAUUUCUGUUUUCGUGGAGUUUUCCAUUUUUGACCAUGAAAAUACAUGACUUGACUUUGGAUGUCUUCAUAAGAAAUGUAGGGUUAUAUUUUAGCUUCAAAACGGUAUAAAGUACAUCCAAAUCUGAGAUCCGUAGCUCCAAUUAUGACCACAACAAAAUCGGUUGUCAGAACUGCCUUUGAAUUUGGACAGUUCUAACAGAAACUUUGGACCCGUUUUUCACCCUGCGCUGUGUUGAUUCAGGUUUUAACCAAAACAUAAAAGUUUUAGCAUUAUGAGAUAGCUUUCCAAUUCCUUUUGAAUUUCUUGAUUUGGAUUUGUGAGCUGCGAGUUAUGGUUCAGCAAACAGACCCUGUCCGUCACCCUAAAAUGCAAACUUCUGGUACUGUUUUCCAUACUUUCGACCUGCUUCCAUUCAGAUCUAGAUUAAGGUUUUUUCAUGAAAAUUGUAGCCCUUCCUCUUAGCUUCGCAAAGGUACCUCAUGCACUUUGAUCCAACACUCGUAGCUUCGAUUGUGUUCAAAACAGUUUUUGACACCAAAAUGGUUGUGCUGCCAUUUCCGUUUCUGUAUGCCAUUUCGGCGCAUGCAUGUGUUGAUUUUGCCGUUUUACUUGAGUUAUGCAUGUUAGUAGCCAUUUGUGAUAUAUUGUGAUGUAAUCUUCUAUUUCAGACGGUGGUGAGCUAGACGGAGCCGGUGGGGCCCACUAGCUGGCGACUUGAAUUCAUUUCCGUACUUUCUCUUGUUAUACUUGCUCUUUAGGUGAGUAAUUAGGAUUUCAGUGUAACUCAAUACUAAUAUGAGUUUACUAUGAAAAAUGGGCACUUAGGCGAGGGUGUACUUUAUCGCACUCGAUCUAAACCCCAUUAGUUGCUAUUGAUACCUGUGAAAUAUAAUUUUUGGUGAUUUGUUAUGGAGCAUUUAUUGCUUGAACUAGAGCAUUUAUUGCUUGAACGAGAGCAUUUAUUGUUUGAACCAGAGCAUUUAUUGCUUGAACUACGAUUUUAGAGCAUUUAUUGCUCGUGACUUGAGUUGAGGCUCAUGGUCUCUCUAUGUGGGGUCCUUUAAGAGAAGCGAGCUGUGUGGCUCAGGAUCUCAAGCAUCAACCAGUGAUCAAGCUCGACAAAUGAGUUGGUUUGGGAGCCACCCGUAUCCUUAUCAUGUGGUGUUACUUUUCUGCUUUUGCUUUGCUCUCACUAUGCAAAUGUUGACAUGUAAAAAUUACAUUUUUACCCUGGUUAGUCACUAAGCUUCUAGCCUACCUCCUUUUCUUUUGUUUUCCUUAGCAGGGGUUGACGCGGGGAAAUUUUGGCACAAUCACUAGUAUAGUUGGGCUAGUGUGACUGUAUGGAAUUGAAGUGGAUGUAUGUGUACCUUCCACGCUUAGAAUUAGUUUCCGCUUCACUUAUGAUAUGUAAUUCUUGUGGAAUUUGAGGUAACAUUUGAGAUUUAUAUUGUAAUUUAAUUGAGGACCAUAGUGAACGACUGAGUCCCGGUGAGAGCUGGGCAGGCGGUCCGCUAACCCAUUUGGUUCGCCUUAGGGGGAGGUGGGGCCGUCACAGUUAAUAUCAGAGUUUAGGCUUCAGAUCUCUGUAGCGUAUCCAAGGCUUGAAGUUUAGGAUGCCGGACUGUGGGUUUGGUUUGAAAUAUCAGUGAUUCUUAUAGGACUGAAAGGCGGACAAGUAGGUGUUAUUUGACUUUUAGUGUUUGCUUGGAAUGCUUGAGUGAUUCUUGCGGGAUGUCUUGACUUGAUUGGUACAAGAUGGAAUGUCGAGGACGACAUUCUUUUAAGCAGGGGAGUUUGUGACACCCCGAAAGAAUGAGUGUGAGAACCCGAAAAUUUUUAUAUAUUUUCUAGACAUUAUUUUGUUUCCUUGUUUAUAAUUUUGUACCUUUCUUCAAGAUAUUAAUUUUCUAUACAUUUUUAUAAAGGAAUAUAAUUUUCAAAUCAUUUCCUUGAUACGAGUUAGUCCACGUUAAGUUUGAAGUGUAUUAUGGAUGUGGGACCCACUAGUGCAGUAAAUGCAAUAUAUUUUUGACAACUUGUUGGAGGUUUGUAUUAAGUGAUAUUAUUUUACAAGGUGCUAAGAUAUUUGUAUUUGAGAGACAAAAAGAUAAGUUUUAACCUAAAAGGUGACAAGUGUCACCAUUCAAUUCACCCUUGGAAUUUUGACCAAGAUAUUUUUACCAUCUUAAAGCUAAUUUUGGCCAUUUUAUUUCUUCAUUUGAAGCUCUCUUGGCCAAACUCCUUAGGGAGAGAAAAGAAAGAAACCUCCAACUUCUUUCUUCAAUUUCUUGCCUUGAUCUCAAAAACCAACCGCUAAAACUUUGAUUUGCUCCAUAAAAAUCUUUCUCUUGGUAGGAUUAAGGUGAGUUGUGAAGUGGUUUAAGAAACAAAUGUGCUAAGUUGCUUGUUGUCUUGAGGUUACAAGGUGAGUUGUUAAGAAUCUUUCCCUUUAGCUUUGCUAAUGUUCAAUUGGUGGCUUUAGUGGUUUAAUAUGAUGACAUAUGGUGUGAUUAUGGUUUGUUUAUGGUUGGAAGUGAAGGUUUGAUGAAUUUUGAUUUAUUCUUGUUAUUUUUCUGUUUUGAAUGAGGAUCAUGGUUUGAUCAUGGUAUGAUGGCUGGUAAUGGUGUAAAAUGAAACUUGUAUAUGUUAGUUGAAGUUGGUUGCGGAAAAUUUCUGAUUUUAUACGAGAUUCCAGGUUUAGGGUUAAAUUUGCCCUGUUCUGGUCGGAUUUAUUUGGGCAUGGUAGAGGCCGAAUCAGGCUUAGGGUAAAACAUGAAAGUUGUAGAAAAUGGUGUUACCUAGAUGCCUGCAAAAUUUCAGCCUAAUCGGAGUACUGUAGCAUGUGAAAUAACCGAAAUACCCUUGACUGCCCAUGAACCCUGUUCCGCGCCUAGAUUUCUGUUUUCGUGGAGUUUUCCAUUUUUGACCAUGAAAAUACAUGAUUUGGCUUUGGAUGUCUUCAUAAGAAAUGUAGGGUUAUGUCUUAGCUUCAAAACAGUAUAAAGGGCAUCCAAAUCUGAGAUCCUUAGCUCCAGUUAUGACCACAACAAGAUCGGUUGUCAGAACUGCCUUUGAAUUUGGACAGUUCUAACGGGAACUGUGGACCCAUUUUUCACCCUGCCCUGUAAUGAUUCAGGUUUUAACCAAAACAUAAAAGUUUUAGAAUUAUGAGAUAGCUUUCCAAUGCCUUUGGAAUUUAUUGAUUUAGAUUUGUGAGCUGUGAGUUAUGGUUCAGCAAACAGACCCUGUCUGUCACCCUAAAAUUCAAACUUCUGGUACUGUUUUCCAUACUUUCGACCUGCUUCCAUUCAGAUCUAGAUUAAGGUGUCUUCAUGAAAAUUGUAGCCCUUCCUCUUAGCUUCGCAAAGGUACCUCAUGCAUUUUGAUCCGACACUCGUAGCUUCGAUUGUGUUCAAAACAGUUUUUGACACCAAAAUGGUUGUGCUGCCAUUUUCAUUUCUGUAUGCCGUUUCCGUGCAUGCAUGUGUCGAUUUUGCCGUUUUACUUGAGUUAUGCAUGUUAGUAGCCGUUUGUGAUAUAUUGUGAGGCAAUCUUCUAUUUCAAACGGUAGUGAGCUAGACGGAGCCAGUGGGGCCCACUAGCUGGCGACUUGAAUUCAUUUCCGUACUUUCUCUUGUUAUACUUGCUCUUUAGGUGAGUAAUUAGGGUUUCUGUGUAACUCAAUACUAAUAUGAGUUUACUAUGAAAAAUGGGCAUUUAGGCGAGAAUGUACUUUAUCGCACUCGAUCUAAACCCCAUUAGUUGCUAUUGAUACCUGUGAAAUAUGAUUUUUGGUGAUUUGUUAUGGAGCAUUUAUUGCUUGAACCAGAGCAUUUAUUGCUUGAACUACGAUUUUAGAGCAUUUAUUGCUUGAAAAAUAUUUUAGAUCAUUUAUUGCUCGUGACUUGAGUCGAGGCUCAUGGUCUCUCUAUGUGGGGUCCUUUAAGAGAAGCGAGCUGUGUGGCUCAGGAUCUCAAGGGUCAACCAGUGAUUAAGCUCAACAAAUGAGUUGGUUUGGGAGCCACCCGUAUCCUUACCAUGUGGUGUUACUUUUCUGCUUUUGCUUUGCUCUCACUGUGCAAAUGUUGGCAUGUAAAAAUUACAUUUUUACCCUGGUUAGUCACUAAGCUUCUAGCUUACCUCCUUUUCUUUUGUUUUCCUUAGCAGGGGCCGACGCGGGGAAAUUUUGGCACCAUCACUAGUAUAGUUGGGCUAGUGUGACUGUAUGGAAUUGAAGUGGAUGUAUGUGUACCUUCCACGCUUAGAAUUAGUUUCCGCUUCACUUAUGAUAUGUAAUUCUUGGGGAAUUUGAGGUAAUAUUUGAGAUUUAUAUUGUAAUUUAAUUGAGGACCGUAGUGAACGACUGAGUCCCGGUGAGAGUUGGGCAGGCGGUCCGCUAACCCCUUUGGUUCGCCUUAGGGGGAGGUGGGGCCGUCACAGACACUCUUAAACAAUCUGCAAAAAAUGACUCGAAGACGACAAUUUAUCAACCUGGACAGAUUGCUAAUGUCGAUUGAAAUUAGAACUCGAUGGCAGAUUUUUUUUGGAUCCUAGAGUGACUCUAUCGAAGGAAGGGCUCUUGUUAUUGCUGGAAUUCUGGUUCGUUGCUUUCUUGGGGUGCUCGGGCAGAUUUUGUGGAGUUUUUGGUAUGUAUGGAAUUCUCAAUGGUAGGUCUUUUUAGUCCUUGAAUGGACAGUUCACUUCGGCUUACAAUGGUGUUGUAACUGAUUAGGGAACAAGGCUCAAUUAGUUGGCGGUUUUAGCAGGCUGGUUGGUUUGUUUUGGGAGGCCAAGGGGUUUGGGAAGGCUAUUCGGAUCUGAUGUGGGAAGGUUGUGGUGUUUUAGAAAGGUUUGGAUUUGAUUUCUUGGUUCUCUUGGCUGACUUCAAUCCCAAUAGCUUUAGGAUUAGAAGUAGAUCAAGAAUGGGACUUGUUUUCCAAGUAGGAAACCUAGAGCUGAUGCUUUCUUGCCCUUUUUUUUCGUUUCUUUCGUUGCUCUUUUGUUUUCUUUUGCAGCUCUCUAAUUGAUAUUCAAGAACUUAGAUUCAGUCCCAACAAUUGAAUUUUCAGAUCUAAGUUCAAGAUGCCAAGAAAAUAGAAGUUUUCUUCCCAAAUUUUCAAGAAACCCAAGAACUCCCAAAUUUGUUUUCAAGAACUUCAAGAAAUCUGAUCAAGAAGCUCAAGAACUUCCCAACUAUGCUUUUGGUAUUCAAGGUUUGCAAGAAAUAACACAAAUAUUCAAGGUUUAAGGGUGAAACAAGUUCGGCAACCCAAGAAAAGAAAUUCCAGCAAACCCGACUCAAGAAACAAUGGUAUGCGACACUUUUUUUUUCCUUUUUUUUUGACACUUUGCUGGGUUGUUUUCACAACCAACACAAGAAACACACUACAAUCUGGACAAAAGGCAAUAGGAAAUAGCAUCCAAGAUUUCGGACAGAUUGCAACACAAUACACGAGACACGAUAAGAAGGAACAAGAAAGCCCUAGCGGCUGCAAAUUUUUUUUCUUUUUCGUUUGCUUUCUAGACACAACACAAUGACCACAAUAAUUAUCAACAAACUAGACACAAACACAAAAGAGAUAACACAGUAACAGAUUUUGUGUUCGGAUGAACAGUACCCACGGAUGAAUAGUAAUGUGAACAGUGACGGUGAACAGUAUCCGAUGAACAGUAUCGAUUUUUUUUUUUUGAUGUAAGGAUCUGAUUUGAAGGAGACAAGAAGAUUCGACUCAACACAAAAAAAAAAGAAAGAUCUAACGUGGUAGAACCAACGGUUUGAGCAGCGAAAAUUUGAUCCAAUCUAAUCCUCGAAGUAGCGAACAAUGUUGAUAUUAUCUCAACCCACUACUUAACGAAUUAGCGAAUCAAACUACAGGUAGAGGAACGUCAUAACCAAGGAGUUACUUGAAUAACUUAAGAAAGAUUCUAAAAUAUUCAAAGAAGCUCUCUUGGAAAGUGAAAGUGAAAAACUCACGAAUUUUAUUAAUGCAAAAACUGAUUAUGAAGGUCUCUUGCCUUGGCUAUAUAUAGCCAUACAACUUGAAAACCUAAAGUGACUUGAAAACCCUAACUCGGCUAGGCUAGGCCUUUGGGCCGAUUCUACAACUCAAAUCCACUAUCUAAUGGUCAGCUUAUAAUCGACCCAAUGAAGGCUUUAAGUUGGCCCAACAUAACACAAUAAAAGCUAAUUAGCCAACUUAAGUAAUAGUGAGCCUAGACUCUAUAAAUCGGAUCCAACUCAACAUGAGGUCUUGGACCGAAUUUAUUCCUAGCAAAUAAAAGAGAAAUCUAGAAAAUAAACUACUAACUAUUACUAAAAGAUUCAAUCUCUUGCAGCCCAAAACAUGGCCCAUAAGCGGCCCAUAUUUCGUAUCACGCAAACUGUACCAAAAGUUACAAACAUUAUCACAAGGAAGCCGUAGUGUCAAGGACUAGUACAAGGAAAUGGAGGUUACCAUGCUAAGAGCAAACGUCCAAGAGGACUGCGAAGCCACCAUGGCUUAGUUUCACAAUGGCUUAAGACCUGAAAUAGCUUAGAGACUCGAGUUACAACCAUAUUGAGCAAAGGCUCAAAAGUCUUGUCAAUCGUGAUUGAGCUAUGAAUUUUCUAUCCCCAACCAGGCCAAACCAGCCAAGGAGUUGAUACAAGCAAUUGGCCAAUUCAACUGCUCUAAAGCUGAAUGAUGAAUUGUCUAAGGGAGACUCAAAGACAAGUCCUAAAGUGUCUUCAAAGCCACAAAAGGGAAGGAGUCGGGACAUUAGUUGCUUUAAGUGUCAAGGAAGGGGACACAUAGCUAGUCAAUAUCCCAAUCAAUGGGUAAUGAUCAUGCUCCCCAGUGGCAAAAUAGUGUCCGAUGAUAAGGCCAAGUACAAGGGCAUGCCACCCUUGGUAGAUGAGGAGAAUGAUUCAGGCAAAAAAUGCGCUAUAGAUGAACAAGUUGGGCUGGGCUCGAACUCGUGGCAUGACAGCCAUUAACCGCCCAACUCAAGGAGGAAGAUGCACAACAUGAGAAUAUCUUCUACCCGUGAUGUCUAAUCAAGGACAAAGUGUGCAGCCAAAUAAUAGACGAAGAACGUUGUACUAACGUGGCAAGCGCAUUGAUGGUUGAGAAGUUGGAGUUAGCCACCACGGAUCACCCACGACCUUACAAGCUUCAAUGGCUCAACAAUAGUGGUGAAAUUUGUGUCUCCAAAUAGGUACUUGUUUCAUUUAAGAUUGGUAGGUACGAGGAUGAAAUCUUGUGUGAUGUAGUUCCUAUGCAUGCUAGUCAUGUUAUACUCAAUAGACCUUGGCAAUAUGAUAGGAAAAUUACUUUUGAUGAGGUUGAUAGCAAGUACACUUUUAUACAUAGACAUAGGAAAGUCACAUUAGCUCCUCUUAUACCUAAACAAGUACAUAAAAAUCAACUUAUCUUGCAAAGGGAAUUCGAGAGGGAAAAUGAAAGAAGAAAAUCAUUAGCUAAGGCCGAAAUUAAUGACCCAAAGAAUCAUAAGGAAGAUUCGGUCAAGCUAGAGAAGUUAGGGAAGAAACCAAACUUUCUUGUGAAGGCUAAGGAAGUAGAACAAGAGCGUAGUACAAAGCAGUCUUUACUCGUACUUUGUCGUAAUGAGCUUUUAUUGUCUACUAACGAGUUAGACCCAACUUUGCCAAGUAAAGUUGUUUUUCUUUUGCAGGUACAACGAGGUAUGAAGGUAGUAAACAAAUCGUGUGUUGUUCUUAGAUACCUUGAAGAGUUCCAAAGUUUCCAUGGGAUUGCAUGUAGCUACAAUCGGUUGGAGAAGAAAAACUUGUAAUUGGCUAUCCAAUCUUCAACUUCAAAAGGACAUUAUUCUUUAAUACAUUUUAGUAUUGCCUAUAAUUUGUUUCCAUUCACCUUGAUCAAGUAUUGGAAAACCUUUGUUAAUUUCCUACAAUUUUGAUCAUUCAUUCAUUGCUUUGUGUAUUGUAGGGGUUGAUGUUCGUCAUUCGCUUACAUGGAAGUUCAUGGAGGGUUACCAACCUUUGGGUGACAUCUACGCAGUUAAAGGAGCCCAAGAUGAUGUAUUGUUUGCUGCCUAUGAAGGACUUGAAUUUUUGAGCAAUAAGAAGAUCCAUAAUUUCUAUUUUGCCAAAGUUAAGCAGCCGUCAAUGUUCAAGCCACAUCAACUAAGUGGCCAUUCAUUGGAGUCUGCGAUCCACAAUGAUCAUUGUUUCACCCAAUUCUUGUGCGUGGAGUAUAAAUUGACCAAACACCACACGAGUUGUCUUGUAUGUGUUAUAAUUUUUCCAUGCAUGGUUCAAUCUAAGUGAACCAACAUGCAAGCAGAUUUGAGACAAAUCUUUCUCAAGAGUAGGGGACUGAAGUGAACACGAAGUCCUAAGUGUGGAGCCAUUUCUUCACUAAUUCCUCGCUCAAGGGGCUAUCCAACUCGUUUGGAAGAAAGAGAUUCAAGGUCGAAAUUUCCAACUCAAGUUUCAUUAGUUUUGUCUUAUUUACGGCCGAAUGUAUGGAGCUUAUAGUCUCGUUUAUUUAGUCAUUAAUGAGUCAUUGUUUGGUUUGCAUUUUAAGCUAAUACAUGGACCAACUAAUAGAGCUUGGAUCUAGCUUUUCAAGUAGGGUUUAUGGGCGUUAUAAGAGGUCCGGUCUGUGAGGAUCCGAAAAUUUUCUUAUUUUCGUCAUAUAUUACUGGUUUAUUUAAAUAGUUAUUCACUCAUUUUCUCCGAAUUAUUUAAUUCGACUACUUAAAAUCCAUUUAUAUGGAAAAACGCCUCUCUUAUGUUUUUAAAGCGCUUUGUUAGAAAAUUUACUUUUCGAAAACUCGUUUAGUUCGGAACAACGAGUACAUGUUUUUCGAGACUAUAUUUGAAUCGAGAGUAUAUUAAUUUUGGAGAAGUAAGAAUGAUCAAUAGUAGAUUAAGAAAAGUUAAUUUGAGAUUUGAGGAGUUAAAACUCGACUCAUGUGAGGACUCGCAAAAUUUAUUAUUUUAAAUUCCAUUUCGAGUUUAUUUAAAUAUUUAAUUGCCUAUUUACUCCGAAUAUUAUUUUCUAACCUAUUUAGACCUAAUUACAUGAGUCUAUAGCUUAAUUAUAUUUUUAAAGUGACUUGUUUCAAAAGUUAAUUUUUGAAAGCUCGUAAAGUGAGAAUAGUGAAUACGCAAUUGGAAAUAAUAAUCGAUUCGAGAAUACAAUAAGCUUGAAAAAUUGGAGACUUGCACAUUAGUCUUGAAAUAGGUAUUUUUAUGUUUAAGUAUUCAAUUAUUAGUUAGUGAUAAUAUCGUUAUAAGAAAUUCUUAAAAAUUUUACUUUAUCGCGUACAAAUCGGAAGUACGCGUUUUUACGCGCGCGAUUAAUUAAGGGACUUUAGACCCUUAUUUUGGGACAAUUAAGAGUGAAUAAUAUUAAUAUGAAUACAAGUGCAUUAGAGGUUUAGUGCACAAGUGAAACAAAAUCGAGAGGAAUCGAGCAUGAAACGCGCGCAUACGCGCACUAUUCUUAGUCGAAUUUUGGAGCAAUUUUGGUCACACAUUCUUAAGCUUCUCAUGGAAGCAUCACACCAGAUCAAAACCCUUCUUUUCUCACCUCAAGUGCACGGCUGAAACUCUCAUUUUCUCACCUCAAGAACCAGCCAAAACAAGAAAGAAAAGAAAGGAAAGAAAACUCUUUAUAUCUAUCUCAAAUCUUCCACCAAAUCACACCAAAAUUUAACCACACUUAGCUAAUCACUUGGAGACCACCUCAAGCUAGGAAAGAGGGCUGCUUUCACGAUUUUUCUUGGGCUAAGGAGGACCAAAAAUUUCUGCUUAGUUCAUCAAAAGAGGUAAUGGACGAUUAUACCUUCAAACCUUGAUUUAUGGAGGUAGUAGUGCACAUAUAAGCUCAUGCAUGCAUGUGGGUAGCUUUAUUUAUGUUGAAUUUUGGUGUGUGGGCUCUAUGAACUCCCACAAUGACUUGAGGACUGAUUUCAAGAGCUUUGAUGUUAUUAAUGUUGGUUUAGUACCUAAAUUAGUGGAAAUAAGUUGUAUUGAUGAAAGGAAACUCAAAGGUGGUGAAGAGCAAAAAUAUUCCAAAUCUGCCCCUAUCAUUUUCGUGUGCUUUUGAGCACUUUUCAGUGGUCCAAAUAACUUGUUUCUGAUUUAUAUAUUAAUAUAAGUUGUGUACGAAGUUUCAUCAAAAAAAUUCGUGAUUUGGUUGGCCAAAUGUUGUGAUUUCAGAAAUCAGUAAAACUGGAAAUUUUUCCUGUAACUGCUCUGGCCGUGUUUUUGUUUUGGCUAUAACUUUUUGCUCCAAUGUCGAAAUCGAGUGCCAUUUGUGGCACUGGAAACUAGACAUUCCCGGCUUUCCAAUGGUAUAAAAUAAACAUCUGGUUCCACUUGAUUCGACCAUACCAAUCAUUUGAACAUGACUGUCCUGUUUCGCGUUUACACUGGGAGCUCUGUUUUGAGCAGCGAAUUGGUGCCCAAAUAUGAGCUAGCCGUGGAUAGAUUUUGGGAAAAGUUUCUUCUCAGAAAUUAUAUCUUUAAGAAUCCAGUUUUCGACGCCACAAACCAUGCUCAAUUCUGGGUUGAAUUGAGUGAUUUAUGACCAGAUUUCGAAACUGACUUUGUGGGAGAAAACUCUCAUGUUGGACAGAUUUGUAACCAAUCUUGAUUUGAAACUUGCUUUUCGAAAUUCUUGGUGUAAAUCACCUACCAAAUGUAUCUUAGAUCCUUGUUAGACCUGGUUAUCAUAAAUGAGACAUGUUUUAGGCAUUUUAUUGGCCAAAGGUUUGAGAAAAAGAAAACUAGUGGUGUAUGGCAGCUUUGCCUUGGAGAUUUAGAAACUUUGAUGGUUUUGUUAACCAACUUCCCGAAUGAAUUUUCCUAUGAAAUUUGGUAUAUGGUAGGAUAAUACUACCAAACUUGGUGCCAUUCCGAUUCCAUUUCGAUGUUUAACCAAAGUCCCAACGUUCGUGAAUAAAAUCUGGAAUUUGGCCUAACGGUCUCAUUUUUUAGCAACUUUGAGCCACCAUAUCUUGGCGCUCGAAACUCCAAUUCUUGUUCCUCUUUUUGUGUUAAAAAUUUUGAUUGUAAAUCUAAUUGAGUUCCAAAUUUCAGAGGCUAGUUCGAAUUGUAUGAAUUUUGCCGAAUUUUCAAACUUUGUCGAAAAUCAACCCAAAUCUGUCUUGACUUUCUAAAACAGCAACUUUGGGUUAAAUUUCGAAUAUCUUCCAAUUGGAAUCAUGGAAAAGUGUCUUCUAGGAACUUUUAGUACUUUGGAAGAAGUUUCCAAUGGCACCAAGUUUUCCAAUUUUGGACUUAUAGACAAUGAGAUACGAUUUUUCAAAGUAUGGGUGACAAAUCUGAAAUUUCCGAACUUAAAGGAAAUUGAGGGUUGCAAACUCUUUAUUUUCCUUCGAUAUUGCUAAACCGUUUUACACUUGAUUUCAAAGAUGAAAAUCAGAUUUUUCUUGUGUUUUAAAACUCCAUUUUCGAGCUUCAAUGUACGAGUAAUUAAGGCUCAUUUUCGUGAAAUUUUCUUAGAUUGUACAAGUGUGCAAUCUUCCUCGAUAAUUAGGGGUUUUAAGCGAUAGUGUGUAAUAGACAAUUACUAUUUGCUCAGGUGCUCAAGGAGACCUUCAAGAGGAUCUCGAGGGGAAUACCUAAAGGCUCGUUUACGUACUUACUCCCUUGUUUCGAUUGGUGAGUGUCAAGUGCAUGAAUUUGUUGCUAAGUGGUUAAUUGUUUCUUAUCCGUUAUGUGAAUUUGAAAUUUUGUGACGAGUGUGUACUAUACCGCACUCGUUCUCUUUCAAAUGAAAUUAUAUUCGUAUUUUGCUAUGUGAAUGCAUAUCCGACUUGUACAUAGUAAUGUGGAUAUGAUUCGUAUAUAUGAUUCGUUUUUGUGAUUCCUUUUUGGAAUCGUCAAUUAGAGCGUUGCUCAUUGACUUAUAUUCGUAUUCGUAUUCGUAUUUGUAUUCGGGGGAUGCCCAAACUCGUUGGUUAACUUUGCGAAUCGAGUCAGCAUGGGCUUGGUCAAUAAGCUUAGCAAACCAUGAGAUAUUUGUAAAGCAUGAUCUAUUGGAGAGAUCUUGCUCGGCAUACUCGCGUAGUACUGCCAUGAUAUACUCGAGUAUUAUCAAAAAUUUGAUGAGCGGGCCCGGUAAGGGGGUGUAACAGUGACGGGAUUCGAAAAAAAGUGGUGUAUCUACGGAUUUGAUACUUAUGUGGUUGACGGAGUGUCAACAUGAGUUGUGAUCAAGACUUUAACUCGACUACGUGGAAUUUAGCUCCUGAGAGCUACAGUAUCCUUGAAUUGUUUCUGCUUAUUUUUCCUAUUCGAAAUGUGAAUUAUUCGAACUUGAUAGCUUUACUUACAAUGUAAUUGUUGUUACUACUUGGAUUAUGUGUUUGCAUGUGUGUUUCUUGGCCUCACUGAGUAUUGGCUCAUCCCAUUAGUUUGUUUUUCUUAACAGGAAUGGAGGAAAUGAACUUCGGAGGAACCCCUUUUGAUGUAUUUUGGUAUUAGGGUUCAAAUGUUUUGGCUGGACUUGUGAUUGUUGUAUAGUUUGGUUAACUGAUGUAUUUUGAACUCGUGGUGUGAGCCUUGGAUGGUUGAUUAUGGAAGCGACUUUUCUUUAUUUGGCUCAUAUUAAUUGUUAUGUAUCGAUAAGUUUGAAUCGAUUUGUCUUGAGUCCUGGUGAGAGCUGGGCAGGCGUCCCGCGGAUACCCUUGGGUUCGCCCUUGGGAGAAGUGGGGGCGUCACACGGUCCGUGUGUCUUUUGCUAUCCUAGUUUCGUUAGGAGUUUGUGUCAAGAAACAUAUAUGUGCUGUUUUUCUCUUUCAAUGAGAGAUACGACAUUUUUAUAGAAUUAAUUCUUGAGAGAUUGCUUUCUUGGCUCUACUAGCUUUUCUUGAACACCUAGAGUCGUCUUCGUGUUCACUCGGCUAAUUAAUCAAGUUCAUCACCCUUGACUGUGGCACCUACUAUAUUUCCUAGGGCUCGCUAGUUCGUUUGAUUGUGGAUCAAAAUUGUAUCAAGGUUCGUAAUCACGGGGGUUAAAGGGAUGCGUGUAGGAAUUCCGCCAAUUCAAACUUGUGUCAAUCACCAUCGAUCCGGCGUUUGUGUGAUCAUGAAUUUCGUCUUCAACGGGUUCGUAUCAAGUGAUAAUCAACUAGAGAAGGUAAUCAACUUCGGAUUUAAGGGCAAGUAGCCCAUACGCCCAAAUUAUAAUGAGUGACUAGAAAUUGUCCAUAACUUGGGAAGAAGAUAUGGACUGUAAUGCUUCCACUUUCCAUCUUUUAAUUUAUUUUUAUUGCUUAAGUUGUAUGUUGUUUAGUAUGCGAUAUAAUUACUAAAGCAUAUCAAAAUAGAAGUUGUGAUUUGAUCUGGUAUUUGGGAAAAGAUAGCAUCAGGUUAAAGGAAAAGAUAGCAGCAAGUUAAAGGUCGGGAAAGAAAAAACAUUUCAGGGUGUAAUUGAAAUUUCACAUUAAGGUCUUAGAAGGUUUUUAUAGUCAAUAUUAACGCACGAUAUAAGUAUCCUAGUUGUUGUGAUUAACUGUUUACCCACCAAGCCAUCACCAUAUGAAACAAAAAUGGAACUAUCAAAAUGGUUAAUUGGCAUAACCUCCAUAAUAAUAAAGUUGUAACCUGUCCAAUCAAGACACCGUAUAUAUCUACUAGUGCAAUUCUUCAUAAAUUGCUUUAAGUCUGAAGGUUGAGGAGGGCUAUGAUCGAUAGAUGAUGAUUGAGGGCUAAGCAUUUUUGUGCAAGACUAAUAAUCAAACAGGUAAUCUGACUUGAUAAAUAUAAUUUUAAUCAUUAAUAUUGUAUGAAAAAAAGAAACAAGUAAUAAGUAGGAAAGAAUGCAUGAAAAAGCUUAAAGUGGCCAAAUUUCAAUUCAACAAUCUAUUAUGGGCAAGUCAAAGUUACCAAAGAAUAUCAUGUCUUUGUCAUGAACUUUGCUACGAUUCAAUACCAUGCCUCAGCAAAGAAUGAAGGCGAAGUAAAAAGCUAUAAAGUUGGUAUAAUUCAUUAAAGAACAAAAUUGAAGAUGAGAACUUAGAAAUAAAGGGCAUUUCCAUUUACUCGAUCAUGAUAUUCUAGUAACAAAACAUUGCAUGUAAUGCAAGCGGUUCAUAUGAACCAUGCAAUUAUUUCAAAUCGGACUUGGGUACAUAGCCUUACUCAUGUAUUCUAUCUUUCUGGAAAAAUUAUAGGCUCUUUUCAAUUGAUUUUCUUUCUAUAAUUGAUUGAAGAAAGAUUAGCAUAGUAUAUUUUGAUCCAUCCUUCGAUGAUUCAGACCUCCUUCUUCCGUUGUAUGGCUAACCACUUCGGAUCCAUAUUGGUUUGGUGGAUAUAAGUCUAAGCCGUGAUGCCCUGAAAAGUGAAAAUAAAUUUUUGUACAUACAAAGGGAUUUUAUUAAAUAGAACUGAAUAUACACAAGAGCAGAGCAUUCUAUUACACAAAAGUAUUCCUGCAUCCAAUUAAGCUACAUAAUAGUACUGCUACAAUCAACAAAACUACGGUUAUGCUAUCAACAUUUAAGAAAAAUUUCUUCGGAAAAAUCUCAACUAAGGCAAAAUAACCAGUUGUCUCUUGGACUCGAUAGAUUCCUCCAUUCAGCCACAUUGCAACAAACUGUCGUGCCCCAUUUUUAAAAUGAAAAAUAACAUGUCUGAAAAAAUGGAUUUUGGUUUAAUUUUUUAUUUGAAAAAGAUGAGUUUUUGGUUUUUUAUGAAAUAAAUACAAGAAAAUGGGCCAAAAUGGGACUAAAAAGUGCGAAAAUUUUGACCAAAAAAUAAUAGUUUAAAAAGGGUUUUUAAUGAAAAAUAGGAGUUGUCACUUGGUAUUGAGUUAAGGUGUACCAAGUCACCUAAAAUGAAUUUUGAAUAAAAAAUUAGAAAAACCCUUUUUAAACGACUCCGAGUCUUCGAAAAUUAGAGAAAAGUGUUCGGGAGUCACAUUUGAAGAAAGGGAAGGCAAUGAUAAAAUUCAAGGCACCCUUUCAAUCUAACAAAGGCUAGUUGCAUGAUUUAGUCAAAAAAAUUUUCUUAUUUUAACCUAAAAACUUAUCACAUUUGGAUGUCACUAUAUGGAUGCAAAACCUAAUUAAACCUAGGAGGAUAUCGGGGGGUCGGAAUAUCACUUCAAAGUUUAAUUGGUGCAAAUCACAUUAACUGUGAUGCCCAAGUUGACUCUUUGAAGAGGUCACGAAUAUGCAAAAAUAUAAAACUCGAAAGAAAGAAAAGAAAGUAAUAAUAUACAAAUAUACAUGACCUAAAAGGAAUGCAUCAUAACGGGUGCGGGGAACUAAUAUUCGUGAUUUCAAUUUUCCCUUUAAUAGAGGGAAUACGAGCAUGUUAAGGCUAUAAAAGUCACACUCAUUCAUAUCCCAUAUUCAAGGGGUAUUUCUCCUAUCUAAUCAUGUAAAUGUACUAACCUAGUUCUAAUUCUUAAAUGGAAUGCAAGUCUGAUGUCAUGUGUCACACGUAGGGGUAAGGAAUAUAUAUGAAAAAUAUGGGGUAAGGGAUAUAUACAUAAGGAAAAUAUGGGAUAAGGGAUAUACAUACAAGGGAAAUAUGUCAUGCAAAAUGAAAAAAAACCCUAAAAACAGAAAAUAUGCAUGGAAAUGUAGUGAUUGCCACACAAACAUUAUCUAACGCGUGGAUGGCCCAUAAGGGUCUAGCGUUGGACUAAUCCAUGUCUAUAAACUCCUACAAGCGUUGGACUAACUCCUGAGAGCUCCUGUAUCCUUAUUAAAUGUGUUAAUGUUAUUUAUGAGUUAUUUGAACUUCCUUGUUUCAUUUCUCGUACAAAUGCCAUUGUUACGUGAACUAUGUGUUUGCAUGUUUUCUUGGCCUCACAGAGUUUCAGCUCAUCCUAUUAGUUUUAUUUUCCUUAAUAGGAGCUUAGAAUGGAAAGAAUUUUGGAGAAGCCGGUUUGAUUACUUUUGAUUAGUAUUUUUGGGAUGUGAUUGAUUAGCCGACUUCUAGUGGUUGUAUUUUGGGGAAAGUUGAUGUAUUUUUGAUAACUUAUGAUGUAAGAUUUGAAAGUUUAUUUAAGGAAGUGACUUUUCCUACUUCGACUGUUAUUCUUUGGUUGUGCAUCUUUAAGCUUGAACUGAAAUUGUAUCGAGUCCUGGCGAGAGUUUGGCAGGCCUUCUGCAGAUACCCUUAGGUUCGCCCUUGGGAGAAGUGGGGGCGUCACAGGAGCACUCACCAACGAUUAGUGUUUAGCAAAAUCAAGUUUAGGCUUAGCUUCUUGGCCGGAUUCUAAAUUUGCGAUCAAAUGUUGAAUAACAAAAUACAAUCAAGUAGGGUUUCCGAAUAUCCAACCCUCACUCGUGAAUAUCACAAGGAGAUCAUGUGAAUAGAACUUAUAUGCAUAGACUUCAUAAGCUUAGUAACCCUAGGUAAAAUACAUGCACACUUGCUUUUGUUUUGGAAAGAAAACGAUUAGAACUUUUAAGUUUAAAACAUGACAUACACGACUAAAAAUCAUGUUUAAAAUGAUCAUUACUUUCACCAUGAAAAAUGUAUGGAUUUUAGUAAAAUUUCAGCUUAGGUGUCACUACUAAAGUAGACUCAAGCAUCCCUAAGCAAACUAAGUCCAAAUCGACCUAAAAUCGCAGCUCCAAUAUCAAUUUCACUCGCUUGAACCACAAGACAAAAAAAGGGACAGCACCUCCCCUGUUUUUUCCUUAAUUUCCAGCCAUUUUCAAGGCUACAAUUUCAUCACCAAACAGUCCCAAAUCAAGUUCACAAGUUAUAGGAAACAUAGAGUUCUUAUCUUAGGUUACCAAACUCACUAAUUUAAGCAUAUACAUAUCAAAUAACCAUCAUAUACUCAAGCUGGAAAAAUUAAACCCUUGGCUGAAAAUUUAGAAUGAAAGCUGGAAAUUCCUACACCCAAGUUAAAAAUCACAUUUCAAAGCUUACUAAGUUAUAUCAAAGCUAAAGAGUCCCAUAUGAAAGCUGAAAAACUCAUAUACAUAAUAAAUCCAUGAUCCAAGUAUGAAAUGGAGUGCAAGUAAUCGAGAAAGUUAGGUUUUAAAACCAAAAAAUAUUUCCAAGACCCUUCCAAGUUUUUUUGUCAUUUCAAAAGAAAAAUUCCAAUUUUUGUAACGCUCUUUGAAAAGUCAUAACUUGAGUUUCGUGAGUCUAAAAAUCAUAAAUCUUUUACUGUUAGAAAAUAGACUCAAAAUUCUACAACUCUCUAGAAGACAUUUUCAUAAAAUUCAGCCCAUAAAUUAGUCAAAUCUCAGCCUCAAUUCACUGCUCAACUAAGUGCAAAAACACGACAGUCUUGGAUUUUCAGCUCAUUUUAAAAUUUUGCUGGUAUUUAUAGAAAGUGAACCAAACCACGCAUUUUACAUGGUUAAAAGAGCUAUGAGUCUAGUUUCAAAUACAACAAACGGAGCUCAAUUCAGAUUUUUCUACACUAAGAUGUAACAGAUUUCCCAAGACUGCUUAGAGUCUCCUGCGGGAAAAAUUUUCAGCACACUAAUAGUUUGGAAAACUAGGUUUUUCCCCUCUUAAACUUCUUUGUUUUGGCUCAAAUCAACUAAUAUAUGAAGAGCAAGGUUUAACAAAUGUCUUUAACAAGAGUACGUUAAAAUCACCACAAAAUUUCUGAAAAGAAAGCUGGAAUUCCUUCUCUCCUUCUCGGACAGCCAUAACAAAAAUUUUCCAGCACUAUCUCCAUAAAAAAUUCGAACUUUCUUAGUUAUUUCCAUGGCAAAUGCACUAUAUCUUAUAACUAACAUUUCAUGAGGCUUAUGACAUAUGUUCUUGGCAAGAAAAUCCAUUACAACUCCACAUAUAUAUAAAGUUUCAAGUAACUACAUCAAGGCUGGAAUUUUGCCUCUCAAAGCUGGAAAUUGUAUAAGCUAUAAAUCUCCUGUUAAAGCUGAAAAAUCACAUAUUGAACCUAGAGAAUUCAUAUCAAGGAUAGAAAACCUCAUAUCAAAGCUACAAAAGCCCAUAUUAAAGCUGGAAAAUUCAUCUCAAGGCUGAAAAUUGAACAUUGAACUGGAAAUUGACCAUACCCUAGCAACAACUUCACCAAAACCUAGCAAAACCAUGAAACCUUCCAUGAAAUCCUCCAAUAUCAAGUCAUAUGUGGAUUAAAUUGCAAAGUAAGAAGAAAAGGACGAGUUUCUUAGUAUAAUACCUCAAAACCCCAAGAUAAGAUGCAAGACAAAAGGUUUCUUCCUCAAAUAACUUCACCACAAGCUCUCUUCUAAACUUGAUGCAAGAUUUGUCGAAGUAGAUUUGAGUUUUCUUUUGUUUUUCCUCACUAAUUGGACAAGAAUCAAGGCUUGAACUUGGAGCUUUUCUCUCCCUUUCUCUCCUCACGUUUUUGGCCAAGACAAGCAAAAAGAGAAGAUGAUUUGGCUGAUAUAAAACUUGGUUGAUCAUAUAAAGACUUGAUCUUGAUCAACUUUGCAUGGAUGAUAGACAUUUGGCAAGAAAAGAAGUAAUAUCUAUCCAUUUAGCUUCCUAACAUCCAAAUGCUCCAAUUAGCUUGUAACAACUCUUGUCACAUAAUUUUUUUUUUCACAAAACUCAUUCUAAUCCUCCAAUUUAUGAUACACACUUCACUAAUCGGUCACACUAGUAUUAUGCACUAUGAGACUUAACAUGUAUCACAUAAAAAAUGCACCAAGUAAAAUAAGAAAUAGGUUAAAAUCAUGAUUCAACUAUUAAAACAACCAAGAAUUCAAGGCAAGUAAAUGAAAUCAAAGAAAAUAUGUAACUAACUAUCGGGUCACAACACAACUUGCAAACAUCUAAAAGUGAUAAAAAAUGAACAAAACCUUUUUUUUCUUGGUCAAAGUUAGGGUUUGAAAUCUCUUGUAUUAAAAUCUCUUUCUUGCCAUAAAUAUCUCGUGCCACAAAACGUUAGACAAUCAAUUAAAAGAAGCAAUAAGGUACAACUGUCUGUUAUCAUUUGCUAUAUAUAUACAAGCAAGUAAGCCAAAAUAAAAGGUAUGAAAAUUUUGGGUCCUCACAGAGUGGAUUGAAAUUAAUUGAUCUCUUAUGCAUAUAAGACUGUGUUUCUAGUAAAUUCACUUCAAGUGGAUUUUCUUUCAACAAAAUCUUCCCUUAAAUUCUUGCACGUGUAUAUUAAAUCCACCUCAGUCUUGAUUGAAUGGUUCAGUAUGAGUGUUGUACCAAGAAAAUCAGCAACAUUUAUUUAGCAUCUUUGUGAAGAUUAAAGCUACAACAGUACUAUUGCAUACUGAAUAAAGUAGAAACAAAAGUACAAGCAUUGUGGUUUAAAUACGAAACCAUUUUUUUUUUGCUCUGACUAGAUUCCUUAUGAGGCGUAUGCCUAGGUUGCAUUUUGGGAGGAAAGAUCUUUUGGAAUUUUUUGGGAGAAUAUUCCCUUAACACAUUUCCCUACCAUUUUUUUACCUCACAUGCAUUACAUCUCAAGACAAUAUUGGUGUUGUUUUUCUUAGAAAAAAAAAACUCCAAUAACUCAUAAAGCGCAAUCCAGGUGGGAGCUUAGAAACCCUUAACAAAAUCCAAAAUCUCUAUUUACCUAAACAGGAUUAAAGCCUACAAAAGAGAGAAACAUAAGGAACUAUCUAUGCCCUUUUGGCACUAGAGGAAUUGUGAUCUCAUGCAGCCGAUAUUGGGUGCAAGGAGACAAACUGUUUGGGAUCUGACACUAAUGUUAUGCGUAAGUUUCUUGAAUGCUGAUCCGCUUUUUUUUUUUUUUUGGUUCUGGAGUGGAUAAGUUUAUUGAUUUUACUUCCUUUGGGUUGACCUAGGAUGCCCUUUCAUUGAGCAUGUUAUCUGUUUUUCGAGGUUUGAUUAGGUCAAGCUAAAGUUUUGUAUUGUGUAUUUUUUCUGAUGAUCUUGAUUGAUAUAUAAAUCCUAUUUUGGUUUAAUUGUGUUUAGACACCAUGCAGUGUUUGGAGCAAUUUAGCAUUUUCAGCGUACCUCUUGCUUCAAAUGAAAAUUAAGGUAAUAAAGAGGUAACUGCAUAGCCUUCAACUUAGGAAUUAUUUCUUUAUUGUUUAAGUUCGAAAGUCAGUCAGACAGUAUUCAUGAGACUCUAUAGUCCUACAAGGGGCUGGAACAGAUUUUGAUUUCUAGUUCACUUUGUUAUUUCUGGGGCUGGUACUUCAUGUGACUGGUGCCAUGCAGCUCAACUAAACAGAAUUUCCAAUGUCAACGGAAGUAAAUGAGUUUAGAAUUAUUAAUUCUGAUAAGAAAAUAGUAAAAGCUACUUAUUAAUAGAAGCUAAAGAAGAUAAGAAAAUAAAGAAAUGGGGGCAGUGUGACGCCCCGAAAAAAAAUGAGUUUGAGAACCCGGAAAUUUUUUUAAUUUUCUAGGGUUUAUUUUUUAUUAUUUUUUUUAAUCGCCCGCCUUUUCUACAUUUUCUUGAUUAGAAAAAUUCCCCAGAUAAAAUUUAUGAGCAAAGAUAGUUUUAAAAUGAUUUUUCUAGUAUCGGUUAGUUUUUGAGAAAUUAAGAGCGUAUUUUGAACGUGGGACCCGCAAGUGCGGUAAAUGCAUUAUAUUUUUGACAACUUGUUGAAAUUUUGUAUUAAGUGAUAUUAUUUUACAAAGUGUUAAGAUAUUUGUAUUGGAGAGACAAAAAGAUAAGAUUAAAACCCUAAAGGACCAUUUGUCACAAAACCAUUGGACCUUGACUUUUGACCAAGACUUUUCUAACUUUACUAAAACCAAUUUGGACCCAAUUUCUCUCCAUUUUAGCUUGUCUCGGACGAAAUUUUGAGAGAAAAAGAGAGAGAAAAUCCAUCAUCUUGCACUUCAAUUUCUUGUCCAAAUCUUGAGUUCCAACCGAUUAAAUUGCAAAUCACUCCAUAAAACUUGCUAGCUAAGGAAGAUUGAAGCUCUUGGUGGAGUUGUUUUGGAAGAAAAAUCCCUAAGUCAUCACCUUUCUUGAUAUUUGAAGGUAUCAUGUCUAGCCAUCCUUUCUUUGUUCUUGAUUAUGCUAAAUUAGAGACUUGUGAUGGCUAAAGAGAUGGUUUGAUGGAUUAUAUUUUGAGUUGUGGUUGGAUGGAUGAACUUUUAUUAUUUUUGGGGAUUUUUCUGUUUUAAUAUGAGUAUGAUUAUGUGGUUAUGUAUGAUGAUUGGAAAUGAUGUUUAAUGACUCUAGGAGGUGGAAAAAGUGAUUAAUUGCAACCAAUUUCUGUUUUGGACCAAAAAUUGAAAAGUGAGGGUUUUGUGAUGAACAUUCUGUCCGAAUUUUUAGGUCCUAGAUAGAGGCCGAAUUGGCCUUUGCUUAAAACAUGAAAGUUGUAGGGAAUGACAUUUUAGAGCUGCCUACAACAUUUCAGGUCAAUCGGAGUAGUGUGGAAUGAGAUAAGUCGAAAUUACUAUUGCUGUUCUGGGUUACCCAGAAUUGGAAAUCUGCGACUGUAAUUGGUUGUUUUCGCUGGAAUUUAUUCCGAAUUGGUUAUUGAGGUAUUCUGAUGAAAUGUAGCCAUGUUUCGUAGCUUUCAGAUGGUUUUGGAAUUUCUGGAUUUGGACUUGUGUAGGCUGAGUUAUGAUGUUUACGCUAGAAUGCGUUUUGCAAACCUGUUUUCGUGAUUCUGGUAUAGCAUCUUGCAUUUUUGACCUGGUUACACUGGAAACUGAGUUGAGUGACCUUCUACAAUAUUGUACCCCUAUCUCUUAGCUUCGAAACGGUGGGUCUUGCACCUUCAUCCGACAAUCGUAGCGCCUUUGGUACCAUUACCGCAAAAUGACGUCAAAACCUGUUUUUCUGGUUUUGAGCUUAACUUUCAUUUCCGGACUUUUCCCUAGUUUGACUUGUACUAGUACUACUUGGAGUUUGCUGAAUGGCUAUUGGAUGAACUUGUUGUUGUGUGUGUAUCUUUGGGUUUGAAUGAGAAGAAUAAUGAAGCCAUGAUGGCUGGAAAAGUUAGCAAAUUCAGGGGAAGUGCUGUCCGAACUUUGAAGGGACUUGAUUGCAUUGAGUUUGUGAUCUAAGACUUGGAUUUGAGCAAGACAGUGAUAUAUGAUGGUUGGUUCCUGAGCCGUGGAGGUGAGUGACCUCAAACUACUUCUAAAGUUAUUUAUGAACCGUUUCUUACAUUAUUUACUUUUGAACUGUUUCCAAAGUUACUUUUGAAAUGUUUUCUUGCAUAUCAUGUGUGCUGGCAUUUGAGUGUGCCUUGUUUGCUAUAUUUCUUGACUUCAUGACUUGUAUUUUGGUUGAUAACGUGUUAAGCGCUUAUAAUGAUUUCCAAAACGAGUUUUCGAGGCGAGUGUGUACUUUAUCGCACUCGACCUCGAUAAAUGUGAAAUUUUCAAUUGAAAUGUUACUUGCGCAUGAAUGUAAGCCUCUUGGACUGAACUGGCCAUUGCCCCUUGUUACCGGUCGUCUUGAGCCAGAAGCGGACUCGGUCAGGCGAUUAGGAACUUGGGUGAACGUUUGGUAUACUCGAGUAUUACCUAAGUAUGUUGGUGGAGCCUGGCCAAAAGCCAGGGACGGGGUGAAUGAAAUGAAAUGAAUGACCAAAUGAGCGGGAAAAUGUCAGGAGAAUGAAUGUAUCCUUUCAUGAAUGUUACUAUCGUUUUCCAUUGUAAAUGUUUCUUGAAUUAUUGAUAAUCCAUAUUUACUGUUUUGCAAAUGAUGUAGUUGUUUCCGGAUUUAUCAUUUAAUUUAUGACAUCAUUGCUAUAUGACAUCAUUGAAAUGAACUAUUGUGAAACCGAUUUGAUUAAUGAUUUUCUGGUUACUCGCUGAGCUUUUAGCUCACCCCAAAAACUAUUUAUUCCCCUCCACAGGGCUCGUGGCAAAGGAAGGACUUGUAGUACUUGUGCACGUGUAUGGAUGGCCUAAACUUUGUACAAUUUUGGAUUUGGAAUUAUUUUAUGUAUAUUUGGGAUUAGUUUCCGCUGCAUUUGUGACAUGUAAUUAUUGGAGACGGAUGUGUAUUUGUGGACCAGUUGAUGUAUAUUUGAUUUUUAUAUUGUAAUUUAAUUGAGGACUGUAGUGAACGACUGAGUCCCGGCGAGAGCUGGGCAGGCGGCCUGCCGAACCCUCUGGUUCGCCUCAGGGGGAGGUGGGGCUGUCACAGGCAGCAUUAUGUAGAAUUAUUAAUUCUGAUUACGUUUUUGACUUUUGUCUAAUUUAUAAACAAAGAGAACGAUUGGCAACCAUUUACUAGCAUGUAAGAUGACUUAAUUCACAUUAUAUUUACACCAUUCAACAUAAAAGUAGAACUUCAAUAUAAGAAUAAAAUUUCAUGGAAGAUUAUGGUUAUUGGCUUGGCAACACUAACUCUAUAGGAAAAGGGUCAUUUUUCUUGACUAAGAGUUACGGUUUUAGUAUGCUUGUUUAAGGAUAUACUGCUCUACCCUGAGACACUCAAAGCUGGAUUUUCUGCGUGUUUCUCUUUGUGCAUGUGCAUUUGCAUGAUUUUUCACCAUAGUAGUGUUGGAUUAUGAAAUUUUUGAGUCAGCCAGAAGUUGCCCACUAAUUGUAUUCAUAACGUUAACUCCUGCGACGGCUAAUGGGCAGUGCACCAUUGUUGAAUAUGUAAUUAAGUUGACAUCAUUAAGGCACUUCCCGUUUCUAGUGUAGAUCACUAGUGAUGGCUUAUGGACGUAAAAUGAGUCUGAAUACAAUGAAAUCAGUAGUCUUGAGGGCCAAUAUGCAGAUGGAAAAUCAGAAGUUGAAAGUGCAAAUGGAGACGGGCCUACUAUUUUAUCUGCAAAUUUAGGGUUGGACAGGCUUAUUUCUGGUGCUAUCAGGGACAAAUCUCCGUUGAAGUUAUGGAGGACUUAUGGUGAAUUUUGGGAAUCUCAAACUGAAGGCUCUACAGUGGGCGAAGGUUCGGAACAACCUGCAGAUGAUGGUGUCCACAAAAUCAACAAAGAUGCAUCACAUGGUAGGUUUUAUAGGUCACCAAAAGAAUCACUUAAAGCAACAAUAGUUCACCAGGGCAGAAAAUGGCAUGGGCGGGUAUCUUUCCUCUGGACAAUUGUCAAAUGAAUUCUUGGAGGUUGGAGUUGGGUAGCGAAUUACACUUGGAGUUGGUUAGCGUAGAGAUGACCGAAGGUUUCUUGGAUGAGGGGGCAGCGGUAACGAUCGACGAAGAUAGCGAUGCAAGUAAUGACGAAAGGGAUAUUGUUCUGCCUCAUGUGGCUGGAAAUUUAUCUCCAAGAUCGGUGGUAGUACUAGAGCCGACUCUGAAUACUUCCAAUACGGAGUUAAACAUUAAUUCCCUUGACGAUAAUGGCAAGUUGGGUAAGAAGGCAAAGGGAAAUGGAUUACGUCCUCGAAUUCAAUCAGACAGGCAGCUCCGGUCCUCAACUAAUAUCAAUAACUCAUUUCAGGUAUUACACAAUGAUUAAUACGUUAAUGUGGAAUAUUAGAGGGGUGUCAAAAGCGCCCAAUCUGAGAAGAUUGAAAAAUAUUAUUCGCACACAUGGCUGUAGACACCAAAAUUUCAUCAUUUUUUUAUUUUAUUCGUUUAUUUUAUUUAUUUUGCUUCAUCUUACAUUUUGAGGAAAAAAACAUUUUUUAGAAAAUCAAAAAAAGAAGAAAAAUCGAAAAAAAAAAUUUAGCAUUUUUAUUUCAUUUUAGUUGAUUUUGUCUAAAUUUUUGUCUAUUUCCAUUUUGUUAAAGAAAAUCAUUUUAUUAUUAUUAUUAUUAUUGUUGUUGUUAUUAUCGUCGUUAUUAUUGUUAUUCAUUUAUUGGAAAGAAAUUCAGCUUAAAAAAAAAAACGGAAGCCACACGCCCGUGUUUCCUCCUUCAUACGAAGGAUGUAAACUGGAAAAUGAUACAGAAGCAGGGACAUCCCAUCGUUGCUCCAAGGGUUUUAGGGACCUGGGGUUUCCUAUAAAAGAAAAAAGAGCAGCAGGGACAAUGGGUAAGAGGAGUUGGCGGCUGGGCUGAGUAGGAAAAAGCAGAGGAAAGGGUUUGGAGAAAGAAACAGAGAGAGAGCUAGAGGGUAGAAAGCAUAUCUGGGCGGCGGCUGAAGACAUAACCGAGAGAGCUCUAGAUAGGAGGAUUCUGGUGACGGCGAAAAAGAAAAGAGGAGAAUCUGGUUGGCGGCUAAGAGGACAUAUCGGGUGGAUGGCUGAAAAUUUGGAGGAAAAAGAGAGUUUGGAGUGGCGGCUGAGGGUUAGAUAGAAAGCAAGAAAGGAAGAGAGAAAACUGAGGGGAAAACAAGGAAAGUGAGAGAGAUAGCUAGAGGGAAAGAGCGGAAAAGAAAGAGCUUCAAGAGUGGGGAGGAGAGAUAGAGGUGACGGCGGAAGAAGGAAAACCCACGGAGGAACAAAAAAGCUUCGGGCAGUAGCAAGAAAAGAAGACGGCUGAGGAAGCUUUAGGGUUGGGAGAUGGAAUGAGAGAAGAGACAGGAGAGAACUAGAGAGAACCGAGAGUGAAACAGAGAGAGAGGGUUUCGUGGAAGCAAAAGGAAGAAAAGAAGUUGCAGGAGGAGAGCUGAAGCAAGGAAGAAACCAGGAGGCUUCUUUUCCAGAAAUUUCAUAGAAGUCAACUCUGGCUCAUCUUCUUUGGCCUCAGCCUCGUCAAAGAAUCAUCAUCAGGUGAUUGUAAACUCUUGGUUUAAUACGGUUUUUAUAGAGUUUUGGGUCCCCUAUGCAUGAAGAUGUUCUUUUUUUUUCAAGUUUCUGUGAUUGUCAAUGCUUGAUAGUGAUGAUUGUGGAUCUGCUUGUUGAUGUUGUUGUGCUGUUGAUAAACCUGGUAGCGCCCCUUUGUUCAUUCAAAGUGAAUCUGAACCAAAGAAAUGCAAUCGAGAAUCCAUGAACAGAUCAUGUUUCCCAUAUAUGUAAUCCGAUGAACUAAAGGUCGCACCUUUGGUCCUUGUUUGUGUGUACAAGUUGGGUCUGAGAAUUCUUAGGAGUACAAACUACAAGAUUCAAUUUUGAUUGUUGGCUUGGGUUGGAAGUUUGGUACUUGUUUGGAUUUUUGGCAUGAAACCCAGAAAUUGCAGUUUAGGAAACCAGGUUUCUGCUAAGAAGAUGCAUGAACUGUCAAACCUUUUUGCCGCUGGUUUAUUGAGCUUGUUCCAUAGCUUUAUCAUGUUUACUCUUUGAUGUCUCUCUUUCCAUUGUUUUCCUUUUUUCUUCUGUCUUGUGUAUCUUGGGCAUGAGUUUUUGAAAUAAAAAGCAUCGGCUGCAUGAUUUGGCUGGGAUUUCAUUUUCCUUUCGGUUUGUGCUUGGAUAGAACCAAUAUAGGAGAGUUGUAGAAGAAUUAUUGUGAAAGAUUUGUUUGAUUGAAUGAUUGAAUUUCUAUGAUGUUUGUUGUUUAAGAUCAAAACCUCGAAGUUUGUCAUGUUAACAAAGAGAACUUGCGGUAAAAAACUAGAAAAGCUGCAGACGAAACCAGUGAAGAAAAUGGCAUGUUCCGUUCCUAUUUUGAAAUGUUCUUUGCUUGUUCGGAUGUCAAAAUUUUCUGGUUUUGUUGCUGAAGCUUUUAGUUUGAUUAAAGUCUGUGAUUUGUGGUUCAAUUAUGCAUGUCUAUCUUAAGUUUUUGCUUUCCAUCUCUGUCGCGCCCCAUUUUUUGCAAGAAAAAUAAAUAAAUGGUUUGAAAGUGAAUUUUUGAUUUGAAAAGUGAUUUUUGAUUUACAAAGAAAGUGGGUCUAAAUGGGACUUGAAAAUGCGACGAUUUGACCCAAAAUAUAGUUUAAAAAGGGUUUUUGAAAUAAAAAUCGGAGUCGCCACUUGGUAUAGAGUUAAAGUGUACCAAGUCACCUAAAAAUAAAUUUUUUAAAGGAAAAAGAUAGAAAAGAAACCCCUUUUAAAUGACUCCUAGUCUACGUAAACCAAUGAAAAAAGGUUCGGGAGUCACAUUUGACGAAGGGGAAGGCAAUGAUGAAAUCCAAGGCACCCCUUCGACCUAGCCAAGGCUAGUUGCGUGAUUUAGUCAAAGAUUUUCUUGUUUUAACCAAAACAUUUAUCACAUUUGGAUGCACUAUAUGAAUGCAAAACCUAGACCUAGGGGGACAUCGAGGGGCAAAAUUUCUCUUCAAAGUUUGAAUGGUGCCAAUCACAUUAAUAGUGAUGCCCAAUAAUGACUCUUUGGAGAGGUCACGAAUAAUGCUAAUGACGGCAAAUGAGUGGAAUGAAUGUAUGCAAUGUGAAAAUAUGAGUUUGCGUGAAGUGAAAAAGUAAUAAAAAACAAUAGUGUGUAAGUGGAAGUGUGCAAAUGGAUGUGCAAAGUAAGGUGAGUAGAGUGAUAGUAUGAAGUGCGUGUGUGCACGUGAUAGUAUAUAAAGUGUAAGUGGCAGAGUGAAAACGUGCAAAAUAAAAGUUGUGUGAAGUGAAAAUGUGGAAAAAUGGAUAGAAUAUGAAGUAAAAGUGCAUGUGAUAGUGGAUAAAUGAAAUGCAUGAAACCUAGAGGAAUGCAAGCAAGACGGGUACAGGGGACUAAUGUCCGUGACUCAAUUUUCCCUUUAAUAGAGGGAAUACGAGCGUGCUAAGGCUAGAAAAGCCAAACUCCUCCAUAUCCCAUAUCCAAGGGGUGACUCCCUAACCUAUACAAGCAAAUGAGCUAAUCUAAAUGAAAAUGUAAUCCUAAAUGUGUAAGGGAAAGGGAGUGAAGGGUCAUGCAAAAAUGUGAAAACUAAAAGGAAAGAAUGAAUAAAGAUGUAGUGAAGGCAUGCGAGUAUGUACUAGCGAGAGGGGGCCCUAUUGGGUCUAGCAUUGGACUAGCCCUUUACUAACGCUCAUUUACAAGCAUUGGACUUGUAAGAACUCGAGGGGAAGGCCAUGACUAGCAUUGGACUAGCCACGGUAACGUGCAUUCCAUCCAUCAUACACAUAUAUAAGUAACGUGCAUAACUAAAGCAAGUAAACAUGUGAGCACGUAAUUUACAUAACACAUAAGCAUGCAUAUCUAGAUGCCAAAGCCUAAGAAAGCGAUUAAACACAUAGCACCUAAGCAUGCAAAACACAUAAGGCAAUUAAGGCCCUAACUAUUACAUUUUUAGAGGGGAAGGCCUACUACAAUCUAAAAGGGGAAAUGAAAUGAAAUAAAUAGUUAAAAUAAAUCUAACUAUUACAAUUGCGGCACUCAAGUGCCUUCCCAAAUGAUCAAAAUGAACUAAAAUAAAUAUACGAAAUUAAGGCAAGUAAAGCGAACAAAUAAAUAAAUAAAAGGAAAACAUUCAAAAAGGACAUGCAAUUAACACAUAAAUCACAUAGACACAUAGGGUCAAAUAAAGUGAAAAUAAGGGAUAGAGUGUACCUCCCUUGCAAUGGUAAUCAAAUGAAGGAAAAAUUAGCUUCAAAACAAUAAAAAGGUCAAGGUACCACUUUAAUUAAGAAAAAUUAAAAGAAGUGUGCAAAUACAAAGCUCACUUGAUCACAAAGCCCCUAAAAUCAUGACUUAAGUGCAAUUGGAACAAAGCAUAGUAGUUAAUUGAAGCAAACAAGCAAUGAAGUUGUAAAAUUAAAACUACCAAGGACCAAAUUGAGGAGAUUAUUCAAUUGAUUGGGUCAUAGCAGCAUUAGUUAGAAGCCAAGGGGUCAAGAUGCAAUUUUUGAAAUUAUUCAUGCACGGCUUACGAGGAGCUUUCUUCUUCAUUGCUGGUUUUCUACUGCUACUUUAGAACUUAUUCAGACACCCUUUGCAAAUUCGAGCAAAGACCAGCAAACUCAUUAGCCAAAACCCAUUAAAAGCUUGAACACUCUUUGAUUAACACAAACCAACCGCAGGAAACAAAUCGUUGAAGAUCAAACGAGGACCCAAAUGGCAGAACGUGCAGCGACAGAGAAAACAAAACCAGCUUUCUGGUGAAUCCUAGAUGGGUUUAUCACAAGCUAACAAGUUACGGAACUUGCAAAGCAACAAAGGCAAUUAUUCACGAUCAACUUCUGACUUCUGAACGGAAUCCACCCAACCCAUCCAAUGUAUUAAACCCAGCAAGAAUUACAAAGCAAAAGCUGCAUUUUCGGAUUCAUGAAUACCAUUUCUUCUCAUUCAAACAUAGCUAAUGACUGUUGCCUUUUCCUUAACUCGGAUUUGUCGAGAUUCAAGUUCAAGUACAUACAAAAUCUAAACACUCAAGCACAUGAAAUCAAUAUUCACUGAUGUAAAGGGGAUUUUAAACAAAUGACUUGCGGGAACAUGGGGAAGGAAAAAAAAAACAGCAGAGGAUGAACCAACAAAAAAUAAAACACAGCAGCAAAAAAAAACCUCGACGUUUCUGAUCUAAAUCUAACGAUAUCUGACUGGAAAGAGAGGAGAAUAUUACCUUAAUCACGAAACGAAGCGUGAGAUGACCCAGGAAAAGGGCUCAGAUGGAUCUGCCGGAUCUUCGAAGGUGCGCCAGUGGGCUUUGGGGCUGCGGUGAUGGCAGUGGUGAUGGAGUCUCGACUUCAAUGGCUGCUGCAGCUUCCCUCCACAGCAAUUUCCCUUCCCUCGUUGCUUUCUUUUGUCAGUUGAAACCCUCUUUCAAUCUCUUCUUCCUCUCUCGUUUUUCUUUUCUCAGUUUUCCUUUUCUUUUCUCGCCUCCGCCGCCACCCGAAGCUUACUAUCUGGUUUUUCCU